rnacentral:lncRNA from 1 species
AUAGGAACGCCUGCACCAUAAUCUUCCUAUAUUGACUAUAGUGAGUAUAAUAAAAGCGGAUCACCGUUGUCGAUUCGAAUUCAGCAGUCAUAUUUAUUUUUAAUUUUUGGUAGUACCGCUACGCACAAAUUAAAUGUUUUAGCGCAAUAUUGACGUGUUGUUUGGGUCGGUAAAAUUUCGUCGAUGGUUCAUUGUCCGGUCUGAAUACGUAUAUCGUACUAUUCGAACAUUAUUAUAUUGCAGUGACUAGGAAAAAGGGGGUUUUUUUUUUAACACUUUUCGAAUGGCAAAAAUGUAGUACGUUAAAUGAUACAAUAUUAAACUAACUCAAAUAUCGAUAUUAUUUAUUUACUGCAAUCGAUAAUUAUUGAUGUUUUAGGGCGUAAACAUUAAUGAAUUGGAGUAAUUCAAACAUAUUUAGUGUAAUCGAUAAUUUGGGUUUUUGUGAGCGGUUGUAACACAAUUUAUAUGAAAAACUACUGAUCUACGGUUCAAUUGAACAAUUUGGAAAUUCAUUCGAGUUCGUAUAAGGUCGGUGUUCUUUCAAGAUAAACAAAUACAAAUCAUUAUCCGUGUAGUCCUUCGCCUUUCCUAUGGCGCGGAGUUCAUUAAUAAUACAAAUCCCAUUUAAACGCUUUAACGAGCUGUUACAGUAAUCCGACAUUGAGAGCAGCGGUUUUUUUCUCUUUGUAUAUAGUCAUAUAAUAAAGACAGAGAUUUCAUUUUUAAAACAAACUACAAUAUUAAUAAUAGUUACUGCGAUAAAAAUAUUAUUAUUGUUUUUUUUUUUGAGAGAAUUAUCUGUUUAAACUUCGUGUUAAAUAAAUAGUUAAAAAAAAAAACUUUUAUCGCCAGUCAUUUUCGUACAAAUAAUUCGGUACGAAUAAUUAAGCGAACGGAGGAAAAUAAUUGUUCAUCCUAAAAUGAACAAUAGGGUAUUUUAGAAUUAGGUAAGCGUAAACCAGGUUAUGGUGAAAAUUUAAGAAAGUAAUCGGUUUCAUAAAUCUAAGGUCUGACGUAUGGUGUGACGUAUGUUUGAGAUGAAUAAUUUCACAGUUUUUCAUAAAAAUGUCGAUGUUCCUAUUCCCUCUUCAAACCACGCGACCUUACACGACCUAACGCCUUACCUUAAAUAUCUCGAGUGUGACACAAUAUCCAAAUGCGAGUACUACGUGAAGUCUUAAAUUAUAUGAAACUCGUACGGUUCGUAACAAAUUGUAAGUGUAGUUAAAUGGACACUAUGGUUUAAUUAUUGCUACAGGUUAGACAGGUAGAAAUAUUUUCGUAUAAAUCGCGUUGGUUUAGGUAUCAAAGAAGAAAAACCGAGGCUAUUAAUUGUACUUUUCCCCGUUGUAAAAAUUCGAUUAAAAAACACACCAGAAAAAAAGAAAACCACUGUAAAACUUUAAGCCGUCAUUGAAUUUAUAAUAUUCGUAUUGUAAGUAUAUACUGAAGCCCGGCUCCGCGGGAAACCCUCGCAUACCGCCUCACGAUCGUAUACCCUUCAGGGAUCAUUAUAAGUAUUAUAUUAUACGUUUUAACCUCCCUCGCGGUGUAUCGCUACCCCGUCGCUGAUCCCGUUUGAAUUACGUAUAAUAUAAAGACAAUCCGUAUAUAAGUAUGUCUUCGGUCCCAGGAAAGAAAGGUUUAAGUCAAUUAUUGGCAUUUUUUUAUUUUAUAUAUAUAUAUAGUUUUUUGCCUAAUGCAGUUUUUCACCUUUGCUUUUUGGUCUAAAUGUCAUAAUAUGUCAAUGCGUACCCACGUAUUUUCAAAAUUAGUUUAUGUAGUGUAUUAGUUUCUGUACAAGUAUUUUAAACAUUUAAUUUCCUAUUGUAUUGUUAACUAUACCAAAAUGGUUUUUUGUCCUUCUUCCUCGUCAUCAAAGAUAUACCAAUAGAAAAUAUGCGAAAACGAUAAUUUCGGUGUUCGGUCUGGCGGCGCACCACACACCGUUUUAUCAAUCGCCAGUUUAGAUAGCAUUCAAACUCUGGUUACAAUGUAAACCAUCGCUAUCUUCCGUUAAAAUAGAAGUGCGAUUUAAUUAUCAUUCGGUUAACAUUUUAAUCGCAGACUAAUUAUAUCGAGUUACUCGGUCUAUGUUGAAGACACUAUCAAAGGCCAAACAUGCUCUCGUUCGCUGGAAGUAUAGAUGACUUGAAUGAUCACGUAUGUAUUUGUUAAACAGGGUAUAGGGAUACCGGUUGCAGAAAUGAAUGGUAAAUGACCUCUAAAGUCUAGGGCAGUUGUACCCACUAGUAUUUUGGAAAGGGCCAAAUAAUACUUUUUCGAAAAUAUUUGCGGGCCACAUACAUUUUUUUAUUAAAUAUAUUUAUUGACACAAUGAUAAUAAUCAAUUUAAACGUGUAUUACGAUUAAUACAUAUAAAUAAAUGUAUUUAUUAUUACAGUGUAAGAAAAAUUAUUAUUGAAUUAUACGUAUUAAUUUUAUUUAUUUAUUACUUUGAUAUUGGUUAUUUGAUUUGGUUUUGUUUAUUGACGUUGGUGGGCGGAACGUCUCUGUUGCUUUUAUUAUCUUGUUUAUGUCUACUGGUGUUUUUAAUGUUGACAACCGCAGUAAAUCGUCCUCACAUAGAAAGAUAAAAUAAAUAAAACUAGUAAGAUAUGACGAAUAAUAGUUAUUGCAUUUAUUAGAACCACAAAAAAAGUAUUUUAUUUCAUUCUCUCUUUGGGAUUUAUAGAUUUUAGAACGCCCAAUUUAAUUUUAGUGCGGGCCGCUUGCAAUCAGUUAAUGUGCGGCGUAGUGGGUACCGCCGCGGUUCGGGGAGACCUCGUGCGAGAUGCACGGAUCCAGCGACAUGAAAUAUGAGAGAAACAUCGUUAAACCGAAGGAAGGAUUUGUUUACAAUACGGACAGAGGCCAAAUAAGAUAAUAUACAAUUCAUAGAUGUACGGGUCUAGCGUAUUUCAGGCUUCAGAUUUAAUACGCGAUUGACGAAAAUAGAGUAAUCAAACACGGGAAUCUCAACCGUCAUCUGCUAUUUCCUUCCGUUUGUCAUGCCAACAACUACGAAUCUCUCUUAACGCAACCGUCCCGUCUUAACGGCGCAGGUCUCCACAGUGACCGCCUCCCGAAGCGGGUCUUCUUCGAUCAUCCGUUUGCAUUUUUCAUCGUAGAACCGCGUUCACGUCCGGAGCGCGGUGCUCGUUGUUAUAAUUAUUUAUUUUUUGUCCAACUAUAUUGAAUCGCUGAGAACCACCGGUGGUCGACCGGCCAUUUAUCUGGCGACCGUUGCGAUUCGUACCCGUUCGGAAACGUUCGUCGGCAGCGAAAUCCCGAAAAUCGCACGUACACGAUAACCGCGCGGGCGGCGUGUACCGACAUAAUAAUAUGAAACAUGAUAAUAUCAUUGCGACGCGGAUCGAAGCGGAUCGGCGGAAAACGAAAAUAAAAAUGUCCGCGGGGACGGCGCGCGGCGGCGCGGGGGAAAAACCCCGGGAAAUAUUGAACAAUCAAUUUCACGGAAGGGUGCACCGCGCGCGCGGCGCGACGAACGGUUCGCGGCCUCCGCCGCCGCCGCCGCCGCCGCCGACCGUAGGACGAGGGACGCCACCGGUGAACGACGUUUUGUGCGAGCGGCGGCGGUGCGCUAGCGAUCCGCUCCUCCCGCGCCCGCGCUAUACGCGUAUACUUGUUAUACGUGUAUUGUAAUGGAAUAGGUGUACGGCCCGGGGUCGGCGAGCGAGGGAGCGGGCGGACGGGGGCCCGCGCGAUUUCUUAUUAUCGCGUCUCCUAUCCGCCGCGGACGGAACGUAAUAUUAUUAUUAUUAUUAUAUCGCGUACGUAAUAAUAUUACGCGGGCACCUACUCGUCGUUACAUCGCCGCCCGGAGUCUUCGCGCCCGCGUGUGUACGCGUAUACACACGCGGGCGCGCGCGCACACACACACACACACACGCACACGCAUACGCACAACAAUACGUACGUGCGCGCGUGCGUGCGCGUUUACGGGCGAGCGGUUUUGGCGGGCGGGCGGGCGCCAUCUUUGUGUCUUUUUAUCGAUUCGCGCGCGCGGGAGACGACGGGUCGCCGUUCGCGAGGCGCGUGGGCGUGGUGCCCGGGCGGUGGCGGCGAAAGUGUGCUGCUCGCGUGUAUGUGUGCGCGCGUGUGGGGACGAAAAACCGGCGGCGUCGCGCGCGAGGGUGCCGGCCGCGGCCGUGCGCCGCGUCGCGGUGUGCCCGCGCGCACGUCGCACACGGGAAAUGCACGCGCCGUCCGGUCGCCGCGGCCGAAAGCCGCUGCGGUUCGGUUCUUGCGGUGUCGGUGCCCGUAAUACGCGUGCACGGGUUUUCCGCGGCGCGUCUAUCGCGGCCCCGUACGGGUGCACGCGCCGUCAUCGGAAAACGAACGGCCGGCCGCGGACGUCCGCCGGUACGCCGCCGGCAACGACGGGCGGCGGGAAAACUUUCGCCGACCCGACGGGCGCGCGACGUGGCGGCGGACGUCGUUAAAACGCAUUAUUGUCAUCAUCGUUAUUAUUAUUAUUAUUAUUACGGCGGGCGGCGGCGACGGCCGGCUGACACAGUUAUCGAGAAGAAAGGGACGCGGCGCCGAGUUCGUUAACCCGCGGCGGCGGUGGCGUAACCCCGACCUUGGCCAACAUUUUCCGCCCCGAGAUAAUUAAAUGCGUCUUGCCCGCGCGCGUAUUUAUACACCGCCGGGCGAUAGACGGCCGCCGCCGCAGUGGGGUAGGGUAUAGUCUUUCUAAUUGAUUCGCGCCCGCCGGUCCGCAAGCCCGCUCGCGCCCUCUCUCUCGCACACGCCCGCGCGCUGUCUCACGCGCCCUCUCUCUCCGGCGGCACUUUUCCUCUCCUCCGCCGACACCGCGCCGCCCCUAUUAUACGCGCGUUUUAAUAACGGCGAUCGCGCCGCGGAGGAGGGAGCCGCCGAAUAAUAAUAACAACAAGAAACGUUAAAAAGAAAAAAAAAAAAAUCACCGACUCUCAGACGGCCGCGGCGGCGGGCAGGUGACGCGGGACGGACGCGCGGCGCGGGGUAAACAAAUUAAAACGGCGCGCGCGCCCGACGAAACUUAAGCCGCAACAGGUCUCCGUCCGCGGCGGUCUCCCGCGCCGUGUUAUUAUCGGCGGCCGGCCGCGCGUCCGCCGCCGCUCCCGCGCGUUUUCCGGUAAUUAAACGUUUCCCGGCGUGCACCCGCACACGUUUUCCCCACGCCACGUCGUUCCGUGCCGCGGCUGCGGUCCCGCGCGCGCGUUUCCGCGGACCCGCCUCCGCGAGACGCGACGUCGGUUACGCGCAAAUAUAAUCACGUCGCGUUUAGAUUGUCUAGAGACACGAACACGCCAACGUACACGGGGAACGCGAAACCCGGAGUCGCGUCUCGGCCGUCCGCCCGCCGGAUUUCGCGGACCUAUACGCGUCGUGUCUAUCGUGAGAUCGCGGGCGCGGCGAGCCGCCGAAUCGGCGACGGGGAGAGGGGGGUGGAGGGAAUACGUGCGCAGCCGGCACCACGGUAUCGCACGCGCGCCCGCGUCUGUUGGCUGCGGAUACCCACCUAAUAUCAGUUCCCAUACGCGGACGGUCUUUGCGCGCGGCGGAGGCGGGGACUGGGCUUUCGUUUUCACGCGCACAUGUGCCGGCGCGCGUGCGUGACGCCCGCGAAUACACGAUAAAGCGGUACGAGCGUACCGCGGUGUACGCCACGGUGACGAACGGGCGAGCGGUGCGAGAGAGAGAGAGAGAGUGAGAGAGAGAGUGAGAGAGAGAGACAGAUAGACAGGCAGUGAGUGAGCGAGAGCGAGUGAGAGAGGGGAAAUGGAAAAAAAGUAUCCGCGCGUAUUUUCCACGGCGGGUAUUCUUUUUUUCCCGCCCCCCGCCUUACGUACAAAGUGUACUAUCGUAUCAUCCGAGGAGGCGCCGACGCGACGACGUACGCGCGCCCGGACCCACCUCGUGUGUAGAACGUAAUGUAGUAUUUUAUUCCGGCGCCGCCGUCGCGGGCCACGGCGCUUGCGUUUUACCGUUCGGCGGCAGUCGACCGGCCACCGAAAUAUCGCUUUCUUCCAGUACCUCUGUCUGUUCGACCCCGGAGGCUCCUUCUACCCUCCCCACCCCCUUUUUACCCACCCCCCCCCCCUCCGGUACGCGAUCGCUUCCGACACCGAGUCGGUUUGUGCGGUCGACGCACACGCGAACUCGGUGUUUGCGAUGCGGUGUCCCGGAAGCUUGUUUGAAACACGUCCCUUACGUUUCGUAAACGGUUCACGCGUUACAGCUGAACGGAAAUCACUAUUCGGUGCGUUCUGAAGAGUGAAGAUAUUUGUGUAUUACAUUGAUAUUCUCGUCCGUUCUCGAUGUGUAUAAAUGGAAACUAAAAAGUUCCCAUUAUACUUUUGGAUAGAAAAAAAAAAAUUUAACAUUUUUAAAUUCGGAACGUAAUAGCGACGUUUAUUGUACUGGUUUUACGGUGAUGUUUAUUUUUUAAAAAUUUUUUUUAUGUGAACUCUUUCUACUAGAAAACUUGAUCUGAUUAUCAAACAUAGCACCUUUUCUGAAAAGAAAUAUUCUCCGGGUGGUACUUUGAAGCGGUUAUUUUUUGCAAUUCUCAUUAAUAUUCGAGAUCAUGAUUAAAACCUUUAGGUUAAAAAAGAUUGAAAGAUUAAAAAUAAUGUCAUCGGCAACCGUUUUUAUUUAUGUUUUGUUACUAUUAAGUUUUAUUAUUUUAAUUUGUUCUAAACAAUCAUUAUUGUCAAGAAAACGCACAUUGUUGUAAUCAGUUUACCACAAUAUGACAUAUAUAUUGUUGACAAAGCAACACUAUUAACUGAACUCCGCUCAGAGUCGUUUUUCGUUAGUAAAGGUUUAUCGUUGUUUACAGAUGUACAUUAAAUUCCCGUCUAUAUUCUAACUUCUCACCUACAACAGUGACUCACCAAUCGUACGAAAUAUGUUCGACUUUUUUUUUAAAUUGUUAUUUUGUCCUUAGUACAAUGGACUUCUGUUUAUAACCAACUGUUUUUAUAUGAUAUGAUAUAAUGAAAAAAAAAAAAAAAAAAACAAAGUAUAUAACAUACACUGUACACAUUUGUUUGCAAUUAAAAACAAAACUAUUUUUAAAACCGAUUGCCCGUGUAUGUUGAUGAGUAUCAAUCUUUUUUUAAUGACUGAUGGAUAAAUUUCAAACUCGUUUAAUUGUUUGUAGUCAAUUACAGUGAUUGGAAAUAUUAUGAACGUCCAUAUUGUGUAGUAACGGUUGAUACGCGUUAUUAUUCAAAACAAAAUGUUCAAAUCUUUGUCACGUACAAAACCAUUUUUUUCACCGAAUCCGGGGUUUUUUUUUCGUUUGUAUUAUCUGCUGCCAAAAUUAUAAAUUAUUAAUAAUUUAAAACGUGUUUUAACUUUAAUGUACUUUUUAUGUCCGUAAUAAACAUAAAACGAAUAACAUAAACACAAAAACAUAUGUACUUACCUAUAUAUUAUACAUUAUUUUUGAUAGCAUUUGUUUCCGAACAAUCUAAGCUGAAAAAUUAAUUGCCAUUCACGAUUGAUCAUGUAACUAUGUCGAACCUGACAUUCAUAAGACUGUCAAUCACGAAAAACUGACAAUCUUGAAUGAUCGUGCAGUACGGGAUCUAUUAUAAUAAUAUUAUAAUAAUUCUUUAUUGUUAGUAAUAUGUAUGAUACAGAUAAGAUUAUGUACAAGAUUAGAGAGGAAAAAACAUGAAUUGCUUUUCACUGAGGUGAAACCUCUUAUCGAAGAACAAGAGUACUUGAAUAUUUUAACUUACUUAAGUUAACUUAUUAAUAUCAUAAUAAUUUAAUCUAAAGACUUAUAAUAAUAAUGAAAGAAGGAUACAUGUUAAAUAAACAAAUAUUUUAAUAACAUUAGAUUUUUUCUUCAAAGGAACUUAUACAUUACUGUAAAACCUGUUUUUUAGCGUAAGUUUAAAAUCAAGAUAAUUAGUACAAUUUAAUAUAUUAUUAGGGAUUAUAUCUAGAGAUUUGAAACCAACUUAAAGAUACACGUUUAUUGUUUUUUAUGAGUGUUAAUUCGAAAAGUUGUUUUCUUGUUUUGUAGGGUUGGUUUUUUCAAAGGUUUGAUUAAGGUUGGAUUUUCAGUUUCCUAUUAUUCUCUUCACGUUUGUAUAUCACCGGCUAGUCUCUUCAGUUCUCUGUAGUUGAACGGUCCCGCGUCAGAAUAAAUUAUCUUUUUGAUGUUCUUCGUACCGUUCUCGGUCUUUUUUGCCAAUUAUCUCUCCCUUCAACUAUAAUAAUAUGUAUAGAAGCUCAUUUGCUUGUAUCAGAACGAAGUCCUAUACCAUUUUCCAGCUCAAAUCGUGCCGAGUAUCUUUCUGGUUUCAUUCACAUCAUUUAGUAUGCCGUCAUUAUUAUUAUUCAUUCUGUCCAACCAACUCACGUCAUUUUUCUCUAAUACCACAUCUCCUCGAAACUUUUCGAACAAAACUGAUCUGGACGGAUUCGAAUAUAAUGUUCGUCUGGUCUUACGUUCACGCGAUUUGGAUGUCGAAACAACUUGGUAUGUAUAAUUCUUUAAAAUCUCUCGGCAAAAUCGUAUCGGCGGAUCGAAGGAAGAGGUUAGUUUUAGGUUAAAUUGGACGUAUAUGCGACGCGGACAUUUUUCCGCUCGUUAAUAAUAUGAUCGUGUUGCAUGUAAAUAUGUAUAUAAUGUAAUCGGUCGUAUGGAAAUCGUCAAUAUUGAUUCGGCGGCGGUGGCUGCUGUUCUCGAGAGAAAAAAACCGAACGGGGGUAUAAAAAAAAAAAAAAAAAACUUACUGUGCAAUGUUUGCGGAAGGUAAUUUUUUUCACAAACUAUAGAACGUCCGACCGACGCGACGCGAAAUUCGAUUAUCGACUGUUAUUUUUCCGUUACACACCUUCUAUAAAUACUAUUUCCCAUUAUCGUCACCGCCGUUCGAAUACUCGUUUACCAAAGGAAAAAAAAAAAAAAAAUUGAAAACCGACGAUGAAUUUUGCACUCACUUUCGUUAUGAUUACUAAUAUAUUAUUUUUCCCCAUCGAGACUCGUAAAUUAAAAUAAACAAUAAACGAAGUUCGCGACGAUUCCGCGAAUAGAAAAGGUCAUCAAAGUAUACCCGGAACCGGCUUGGCUAUAGGACGGCAAGGCGGGGGAAAGGAUGUGAAGGGUGGCUUUAGCCAACGCCGAAACGAACGCAGUAGAGUCUAGGAGCAGCGGUUGCUUUUUGCUUUUUUUUUUUAUAAGAUUUAAAAACGGAGGAGCGCUCAAUAUGAUAAUAAUAUCCGGUACUCGUUUAUUAUACAUAUACUGAUUAAGAAAAAAUAGGUAGAAACUAUUUUACCGGGUUACUUUUUUGUUUUUUUUAGGUUCGUUUCGCCGCUGAGCUUAACCACUGUAAAAUGAGUGUGUAAAGUCCUCCCUCGCUUCAAAAAAAAAAAAAUAAUGAAAUAGAAAUAGGUAUUUUGGCGGCCAAUUUUGAGAUACUGGUAUUUUAUAAUUGCAGGUUUAUACCAAAAUCUGAGAAUACUGUACAAGACGAUUUCGAGAACGAAAAUAAAAUUUUCCGUACAGUUAACAAUCAAGCAGCAACUGAAUUACUUUUAAAUACUCUCUAUGAAAGGCGCGUUAACAAUAAUUUCACUCUUAGUAUUAGUGAAAGCCAAAUGAUGACAUUUUCCAGAUGGUGAGUUAUUUCAAAAUUGAAUUGUAAUCUAAAUAGUUAAAUACUGGACGUUGGAACCUAUUAAAGACCUUCGUAUUUUCAUUCAACUUAAAUUAGACUGUGACAUUAGCAGAUAUAAACAGAUCAAACAAAAUGUUAGGUUCCAUUCAUCGAAAUUAUGCUUAAUUUAAUGAUGAACUUGAUCAAAAAUCCAUAUUAUAUUGCUGUUUGGCACGUUCUAUUUGUGAAUAUGAAUAAAUAAUAUGAUCUCCGUACCGACCGACUUUUAAAUAUAAAUUAAAAAUAGUUCUUACGAUCGCUCUCAUUUAAACGCUCCAAAGUCAGGGACCGAAUUCUCUUUGUACUCUCCGUUUUUUUAAAUUCUUAACCUUGAAACACUAGAACAACGUCAUUUAAUACUUAAGAUUUGUACUUUUAUUACAAGUUUUUAUCCAGAAAUAUCGACUGUCUCGAGUUCCUAAGUCGUUUUUCUGUCUUACUCGUGAUACUAGGUAUAAAAAUAUAUGUUAUCUUAACACAAACAUAAUUAAUCACCCAAAUAUUACAAAAAAAAUUAUGAAAACCAUGAGCGAAUUAAAAAUCGAUUUGAUUCUAUGUUCAAAACUUCCAACUCGUUUAGAAUUUAUUGUAAUUUCAUACUUGUUAAUUCAUGAUGGCUGUAUAAGUAUUUAAUAUUAUUUGUAUAUCGUAUUUCACUUUAUUAUUUACGAAGGAUAGAUAUUAUUUGUAUUAUCAUCUAAUUUAUGUAAUUGUGCCUGGCCUGUUUAAAAACUUAAAUAAAUAAUCAUUAUUUCGGAACAACGGCUAGCGAGUGUCGUUUUUCGAGUGUUUCUGACAAGUAGGUAUAGUGAUGUUUGUAAAUUAAAAGGAAGUCGGUUAUCGAUUCGCCGCGUGUACGCGGUACGAAACGGAACUGUUAGGUUCAGAAACGUUAUUAAAAUGGGGAGCGGAAUUCUUCGAAUUUCCUCGACUCCGGAUCGGAACCUAUUACUGCAGUGCACUUUGACGGGAAUGUGUGUGUAUAUUUUUUUUUUCUUCUCUUUUCAAUGGUAGGAACUAUAGAGAAAACAUUUUUGCCGGAUUGUGUAAAAGCGUUCGAAAAAUUGCAUAUUGUAUUAUAAUAUGGCCGUGCCGUUUAAAAAGAACUAUAUACUUGAAGUAUAUAGGGAAGGUAUAUUAUUAUAGUGCGGCUUUAGAGAGGUUUUUUUGCAAAUUAUCCGGUUGAACGCACUGAAAUAAAAACGGGAUGGAAAAAAAAUAUAACGGACAUUAGGUACGCUUAUUCGUUUAAAUUCUAAUUCAAAAUUCCACGCGCGCACGAUAUGGCAGUUUUCUCUUUUUGAACGCGGUGUGCGAUACAAUGAUGAUAAUAUCGCAUUUGGAAUAAAAUGCCGAAAUUAUUGAAUAUCAUUAUAAAAUGAAAACACUCGCUCUGAUUAUGACAUCCACUUAAGCCUGUGAUUUCGUAAAAGACGACAAUAAAUGAUAAAUACGUGCCGACGGACAUAUUCUGCUGAUAUAUUUGUGCUCGCUCUUUGGUGCCUUCUAAAAUAAACAAGGGUCAACAGGGUCCCGCAAAAACGAUUUUAUAAAUUUGAGUAAAAUUCGAAAUUUUCACUAUUAAUAGAUAUUUUUAAAUAGUUUUUAUUGUAUGGCUGGCUAGCAACAAAGUUGGUCACGUCUCUCGUAUUAUAUAAUAUGCUCUAGAUGUAUAACCUUUAAAAAUCUUCCAAUUCGAUCCACCUAUUGGAGUGUUCACAUAAUUGUUUACUACGUCUUCCUAGAGGUAUUUUCUCUAUUGAUUCUGUUCCGGCACUGUCCGUAAUUACAGCGAGUUUUGGCUUCUCUGUCAUGUUCUUCCAUUUUUGAUAAUCUCUAAAAUAUUAUUUUCUCCGAACGUUAUCAAUAGAAAUAAAUAAAAAUGUAUUCUCGGCUAUUUUCUUAGCGGUCGAAUUUCAGAUCCUUACAAUAUCACUGGUCGUUUAAUGUGUAUUGCAGUAUCAUAUUUUAGUAUUCUAUCAAUAUAACGAUAGGCAUUACAGCGUGUAGAGAAAAUAAACCAGGAAAUCAAAAAUAAAACAUUCUUGUAGGAAAUACUAUUGAUCGGUCGAUUUGUAGUCAACACUAUAUUGAUAAAUAUGUUCACAUCUUUGAACGCUGCGUUGUAAAACAAGCUGGGAUUUGAUAAAGGAUCUGAAACAAAUACGCUGGUCAUUUAUAAUCGUUACGCUACAGAAGCGUGCACGCUCAACUAUCGGUUUUCUCAGUUCAUAUAAUAAACGUUUGAUUUACGAGUUGCAUAAAUACUCUUCGCUGGUUAAAACCGUCGACUAAUCGUCGGGGGUCAUCCUCAUCGUCGGUACACGAAUAAUUGCGUUCAUUUAUUUAUCCAACGCGACAUUUACUGUAUAAAUAAUUAUAGUAGUCCCACGUUUCCUCGAAGGAGAAUUCGCCACGUCAGUACACGCGAUUGCACUGAGAUUAAACGAUUUUCAAAUAGGUUCGGUGACUUGCAGGUAUACGAUAGAGGUUAAAACUUUAAAAUUAAGCAACCAACGUCGGCGAACCAAUAAUGACGUGCCCAUAAUCAAGUUUUAUAAUUGACGUACGUAUAUUCGGGUAUAAAAGAACAGUUCUUCCAAAUUCCAAAACUAAACGACAAGAAAUAAUGUUACCAACAGCCAAACGUAAAAACUCAAAAUAAUAGUAAAUUUGAUUUUCGGUCUACUGUUUUUCAUUUUUUCCUGCUAUUUGGAUUAUUGCGCAUACGCCUAAUGUGAUUUUACAUGAAUGAUCUAGAGUUUUCCCGCUAGCCUCGCAGGCGAAACAAUAACGAUAACGUUUGCGGUAGUUAUUGUCCGUAUUUUGAGUUUAACGCACUGUACGCAGCUCUGCGUAGGAAUUUAUAUUUUCAUAUACCAGAUUAAUAACUAAAAAAAGAAAAACUUAUAGUUUUUUAUUUUUUUACGUUUCAUCCGUAUGCGGAUAUUAUAUUGUUCGUUUACAACGCGCGUAUAAUAUCAGCGGCGGCACACUGACGGCGAAAAAUGAAAUAAAUAUAAAAAAAACGCAUAAAACGGUUUGUACGGGGUGUGCAGAACGUGUUAUACUGCAUCAAAUAUUGAACGGUUCAAAGCGCUCAAGAGAUGUACGCCCUGUACGUGAAAUACGAAUACAGUUUAAUAAUAAAGGAGAAUUUUUUUUCCCUCGUGAAAACGGUAUACACACGCAGAAAUAUUACGACGUUCAACCCGGAGGAGUUUUUGGUGAAACGCGAAUACUAAUAAUAAUAAUAAAAAUAAUAAUAAUAAUAAUAAAAAAAUAUAAUAAUAUUAUAUAUUAUAUACGAAUAUGCGUACAAAAAAGGCUCGGGGAGAAAAAAAGAGAAUGUCGUUUUAAUAAUAAAUUCAGUCGCGUGUGUAUUAUAAAUAUUUUCUGGAAAUAUGGUUUGUUCCUCGUGUAUGACGUUUUUCCGCUCCCCUCAACCACUCGUUAGAAGUCCCCCUCCCGCUCACCGACUUGCCGACGCACACCCGGCGCACUAUUUUCUUGACUUUUUUUUCUCUUCGUUUUUCUUCGAAAAUAUUUUCCUCGUAAAAAAAAAAAAAAAAAAAAACGAAGUCGUUUUAAUAUAACGCACUUACACACGGUGGCGGCAGCGGCGGUUGUACGACGGGAUGAAGUGGGGUGGCGGGAGUUCAGUGAAAUUUGGGAACGUCCCGGAAUUAAUGGCCGGGACCGGGUUCGAGUCGGCGGCAGCGGCGGGGUGGACAGUACGAAAAGGAGGAGAAAGAAAUCCAAUUUAAGAGAAAACUGUAUUUCCGUCGUCGUAGUCUUCGGUCCUCUCCCUCUCUCACCUCUCCUUGUGCAGUUUUUUCGUUCUCUGCGAGACUAGAAAAUAUUAUUAUUAUUAUUAUAUUCAGGGCACACUGCUGCCGGUGCGCGCGUAUGCACACGAGAGAUAAAAUAUUAAAAAAAAAAAAAAAAAAAUGUAUACAAAACGCGAAAAAUGAAAAAAAAAAUACAACACGAAAUAUUAUAGUACAAUUAUUUGCGUGCUGCUGCACGUGGAUCCGUUAGAUUUGAAAUUUCCCAGAGACCAAGCACGUGUAUAUUUACUUUUUUUCAAAAAUUGAACCCUUAUAAUAUAAAAGCUCAAUGGAUUUCUUUCUUAAAAUAUGAAAAUUAGCCAUAUUAUAUUAUAAACAUAAAUUACCAUAUAAUUAUAUACGAGCUAGAAAGUACAAAACGUAGUAUCAUUAAAAUAACAGGAAACGAUUGAAGUAAAUAGUGACAUUUUCUGCUUCUUCUAAGGUUUAACACAUAGGUCGUUCAAGCCGUUCGUUGCAACUAUCCAUUCCUCUCCUUGCUUCACUGUUAUCAGCUAUUUCGUCGCAGUUUAUCACUUCUAGAAAUUGUAGACUCCUCCAAACUAUGUCUACCAAUCUUUAUCUUGGCCGUUCUUAUGGUCUCUUUUUAUUGAGAGUCCAUUUUUGCUGCUUCUCAUAUGUCUGGUUUGCACUUGCUAUGCAUAUCCUGUCUAGCGAAUACGCUUACAUUUCAUCGUUGCUGAAAUGUCCACUUCACCAAAUAUUUCCCCAAUCUGUAAAUUGGUCUAUUAUUCAAAUAACGGUUUCUUUUGAAACAAAUCAUAUCAAUCAUAGGAUCUUCCUAUCGAGCAUAACUAUUUUUUGUUCAUCUAAUUUUAUGGUAGUUCAUGUCUCACAUAGUGACAUAGUUAACACAAUAGCACUAGCGAGAGGGGUUCUUUUCAGUAUAAAAAUCGAAAAUAUUUUAAGAUUCCUUAAUAGGCAGAAAGAAUAAUGUUCCAAGAAUUACUGAACAAAAUAAAACACAGAAGUGACAAAAUUAUUAUUUCAAUAUAUUAAUUUACCCAAAUAGUUAAUUAUAUAUUCCAAAAUAAUACAACUUAAGAAGGAGCUUUCGGUGAAGAACUUUACUAAUGGUUUAGCCCAACCAAUUUAAUCAAUAGACGAAGAGAAAUCAAUAAUUUUAGACCGCCAAUCUACUAAUGGUAGCAUAUAACCAAUGGUGAAUGGCCUUGUUAAAAAACGUGUUGGGUAAAAGGUAUGACACUGUUGUUGGGAAAAAAUUAUAACAGCUUUAGAAACUGUAAGCUCCGUAGUUUUUGAACAUACUGAAGUUAAGUUUAUUGGUCUAUAAUUCCCAAAUCCAAGUUUUCCGCCUUUCUUGUAAAUUAAUAUAACAGAUGCUUUAAUCCAAUUAUUUAGUAGACAGUCAUAAUGACGAAAAUACAUAGAAAAAAUAUUUGUAAGUGGAGCAGACAAAUUAUUGUCAGCUUCUUUGAAUAACACAUUUCAAAGGCAAUUAGGAUAAAGGGAUAGGAGGCGAUGUUAAGUUUUUUGAGUUACUGGUAAAUAUCAAAGUAGGUGAAUUUUACAUCCGUAAGACUUAAGAAUACGUGGUAAAAAAAACUAUAGGAAUAUCUAGUUGUUAGAAAAAGAUUUAGUGAUAAGAUCAGAAACAUCUUGUUUCGAAGUAACCGUUACGCCGUUAGGAUUGAGGAUAAUUGGUAAUUAAACUUUGGUUAUUAUUUUAAUCGAACAUACUUACAAAUUAUUUUGGGAUUUUAGUUGAUAAAAAAGUUUUAUAAGAUCUCUUAGAUGCAAAAAAUGUCAUUGGAAAAAUUUCUGUGGAAUAUAAAACGCCUAGUUCACGAUAGUUCGACGAAAAACAUCACGGAGGAGGACGUAAAAGUCCAAAUAUCUGAAGAGACAGACCGAAGCUGGCGGACAAGUCUCGAGGAUUCGACAUAGGACUUGAGUUACGGAAGGGAGAUCUGAUUGAAAACGAUAUAGGGUCAUCACGAAUACCAAAUUCAAACUGUCCACUCGUGUUAGAUAGGUUCGAACUAAGCCUCUGUUUGACUCGUUUUUAAGUGUUUCCCCGUUCGACAGCAAUGAAUAUUGUAAGAGGCGCAUUUUUCUUUUUCCGUACCAUGAAAUAUGUACACCAUAAGAGUAUCCAAUUUGUUUCGGACCAGCGGCCGGUAAACACGGCGAUAAUUAUUUUUUCCCGGCAGACGGCGAAUACACACGGUAUUAAUUAUUCGACACCGUGUAUCUAUUUCGCAAUGAAAGAAAAUAUUACAAAGGUCUGAUGGCCACUUGUACCGCGAAACAGCUCGCGGGCCCGGCCGACGUCGCGUUCAAUCUAUUCACGGCGCGCAUCUCCACUCCGGCGACAGUUACUCAUCCUCUCGAGUAGCCUUUAUACGACGAGGUUUUUAUUUUUUUCGCUAUAUCCGGCUCUCAUAUACAUAUUACGACUUUGAUUGUCCCGGCCCGGUCCCGUAACGACUUUUCGCGUCGACGACGGCAAACAAACCAGACGAGUGGCGCAGCCGUCGUCGGCGCGACACGACUCAUUAAGCUGGAAUACGUAUACACGGUAAUAAUAAUAAUAAUACACUCGGCUUUUGAGAUCGGUCGUCGUCUUUUUCUCUCUUUUCGCCUUUUGUCCCGCGCGUCGUUAUUAUUAUCAUUAUUAUUAUACGCGCAGUAAUAAUAUCGCAGUGUGUGCACUCGCACUCGUGUACGCGCGUAUUAUUAUUGUGAAAGUGUCACUCGCGGAAAUUUUUUUUUUUUACCGCCGCCGGGGAUGAAAAAAUAAUAAUAAUAAUAAUAAUAAUAAUAAUAAUAAUUGCAUAUUUAACUCGCGCAUACAUACAUGUAUAGGCACGCACAUAAUGCCGUACGGAAGACCGGGCGGAUCUCGCGAGGAGCCGGGCGCGAGUCUCCGCAGCGUCCGCGCGAUGUAAAAGAACCGCACCGCCGCGCCACGAUACUGCACGCCGUACGGUGUUCCGUACUAAUUAUUAUCCGUACGCGUUUUUCCGGGCCCGCGGCGACGGCGGACGCAGUGCGCGCGCGGCGCAAUAACCCGGUGACGGGGUGAGGAGUGGCGCGAGGGUAGGGAGGGGGGGGAGGGGAAACCGUGAAACAACGGGGUAAAAAGAAAAAAAAUAAUCGUUAAAACGAAAAAAAAAAAAAAAAAGUAAAGGGUUCCGCAUCGCGCGACACGUUGUGCGCAAAAACUCGCGGGAUUAUUUUUUAAUUAUUAAAAAUAAAAAAAAAAAAAAAUAAUAAUAAUAAUAAUAAUUACUCUCACCCGUCGGACUGUUACGCGCGCGCAAUACGCUCGUGCGCAACUCCGCUAACAAUCGUCAAUACAAGUGUGUAUUAUAAUACGCGUAAUAUACGGGGUCGUAUUGUGUGUCGCGCGGGGUCGGCAAUAUACGCGCGUAAAACGUUUUACGCGUUUAAUAUCCCACGCACACAGAACGCAUAAAACGACUAAAACUUAUACGAUCUCGUAACGGCGGAGGCUUUUUUCCCUCCUUUUUUUUUUCCUUUUGGAGUUUAUUACAACAGUGAUAAUGUGCCGUGCGUUUUAAAAUUCGAACGCGUGUUUAAACUCAUAAAUCGAUGCAACAAAUUAACGAAUCGCGUCAACUCGGUGAAUUUUCUCAAAGUCGGAACGAAAUAAAAACAAAACAGAUUAUUUUUCGAUAUUGAAAAUACUGACCGUGUUCUUUAUUAAUAAAGAAUACGGACGAACUCGGUGGUUGACAUAACGAAUUGUCACAUAUAUCUUGGGCGUUCACAAUAUAAGGGACGUAGCCCGUUCCCGAACGGCCACGUUGUUGGUGUUUUUUUUUUUUAAAACAAAUAACGAAUGGGAUCCGUUUGGGAGCCGACCAAUAUGAGAUAAUACAUAAAAUGAUAAUUAAAUUCGAUUGAUAAUUAUUUCACCUGGUAAUUUCUGUUCAAUUGCAGCCAAAAAAAAAAAAAAAAAAAUUGUAUACAACCCGAUAGUUUUAUACUGUACGUUUUAUACAUGCAUACAAUACGUGUUUUAUGCUUAAUUGUAUUAUACCAACACUGAUAUGCGCUCGUGAUUAGCCGACAUACAUAAUACUUUAUUGUAUACGCUGUACAGAGAGCGCAGCGGAAAUUACGAAACUCGUUUCCGCGAGCCUUCGCGCUGUAUAAUAAUAAGCGCACGGCGAUUCGCUAAGCGUGUUUAACCGGGGUUUUUUUUUUUUGGUCACAUUUCGCAUAUGUUCAAAUUUUGAUUUUCGGAAUUUUUAUAAUUGUAUAGUUACGAAUCGAUACUUUUGAACGCUCGGAUUUUUCACGACGUUCGGGAAGUGUCUUGUGCGGUAAUGCCAAAUUUGGUUUUCCAAAGAGAACCCAUUAUAUUGAAAAUUCCGCAAAUUGACGGGGUAUUACUUUAAAUACAUUUCGGCGUCAACAUUUUUGAUUUCCGUGAGCCCGUUAAUGAGACAUUCUACUUUUAAGUUGUGAUAGGGAGGAGUGGUGGAGCAUCACAAUUAUUGUGCAGCGGCACGGCACGCGGCGUGUUAUUAGUGUUCCGCUACCAAAACCUAAAGGUGAACUAUCUCGUUAACGGAUUGUCGGAAAUCAAACAUUCUAAGACCAACAUUUAUUUAAAGUAAUGCUCCGUCUAUUUAUGGAUAUUUUAAUAUAAAGGUUCUCUUUGGAAAACCGAAGUUGGUAUUACCGCCACAAGAUACUCUCCGAAUGCGGUGAAAAAUCUGAGUGUUCAAAUACUUCGAUUUUAACUGCAAUCGACAAUUCCGAAAAUCAGAACAAAUUAACAGCUAUUGGUGGUCGUUGCCAAUGAAUGUGCAAAUGACGUCCACAUUUCAGGACGAUAACGUGAGCUUUCGGAUAUUACGCAAUUUCCGAAAAUUUAAUCGGAAAGCAUCGACGAUCUAGAGGUAAAAUAAAAGUUAAGACAUUGGUGAAACAAUCAUUUUACAUAAUAGUAUGCUGGGCUUAAAAGCAAAAGCUCAAAAUACGAUUUUGAAUAAUUACCAAUUUCAAAGUUUUUAUUUUUGUAUUCUGCAAUUAUUAGACCCGAUGAUUGGAUUUUUCUGUAAUCAACACUAUAUUUGUUCCGAAUUAAAACGACAACUUCUAAGAAGUGCUGAUGGCAUAUUAAAUAUGCAAAAUUUAAUAAAAAAAAAACAACAAAAAAACAAAAAAUGGAGUGAGCACGUUUAGCUAAUCAUCCUGUAUAUAUAUAUAUAUUUUAUGUGCUACAAACACGCGUCUGAAAAGACAUUUUUUUCAAUUUUUUUAAUUUUUUUCUCCGGGUUUCGGAAAACUCUGUGACCGGAAAACAAUGACUAGGACGGGAAAAUAUUCUGCUCGUAUAUUAUAAAGGAAUCGCGUUGUAAUACAAUUAUUAUCAUCCCGGCAUUUUACGGCGUUUGAUUUUCCCAAGACGAACAAAUGAAUAUCAACGGCGAGGAACCCGCGAAGACGUAUAAUAUACCUAUAUACACUGCACAAAUCGAUGUCGUCCGCACGCGUCAAAAGGCUCGCAGGGAAUAUAUUAACCGAAGCAGAAAUGUCGUUCCGCGUGUGCAUCAGUGAAUCGAUCGAAUCUCGAUAUUAUUUAUAAUGACUACAUUAGGCGAUACUAUCGCGCAGGAUGCCGUUCCCGGUAAUGGUUGAACCCGAAUGGCGUCCGGAGCUCUUUAUUAAGAACGUUCGACGAGUGACGACGGCCCACGCUAUACAUUGGUAUUACACGUGUGAAUUUAUUAUUGGCGCAAAAAAAAACGUCAGUUGAUACGGUUUCGGUCGUAACUGGUAUACCGCGGGUAUAAUAAACGAAACGUGGAUGACGAGGGAGCAGAUCGGCGAAAGAAAAUUCGUUCGGCGCGCAUUUGGACGCGAGGGAAAUGGGCGAACAGACAAAGAAAUAACAACGAAAUCCAGACACUCGGAAAAAAAAGACACGUAUGGAGGUUGAACAGGCCUCAAUGGCCUUUGAAACUGAAUACAGAUAGACAGACCGGCCAAGAAAUAACAAUAUCCAAAACAAAUUGUAUACAACGAAUUUGUCUGCUAAUCGAACCGACGCGUAAUGACGUCUUGAAACGGAACCCGUUGCAGGGAAGAGACGGAUAAGAAGACAUGAAACAAAAAGGAAUUAAGACUGCCAUUACAGAAAUAGAAUAUUUUUGUAGAUUAUCGGGAAAUCGAUGGAAAGAAAGUCGUUUUGCAGCUACACGCAGUCAAAUUGCCGUUAAAAGGUUGAAAAAAAAGCGACCCAUAUUCCAUAUUAUUAAACUUAUAAUGCAUCGAUAUAACCUUAAAAUGUGCAAAAUUUGAGGCUAACAGUUUGGAAAACAAUAAGUAAUCGUAAAUAUGAUUAAUAUGAGUAUUUUAUUUGCAAGAUUUCGGAUCCUAACGAAUUUAAAAUUUGAUAGCUGAUUCGUGUUAUUAUUAUUUAGUAUGCGUAAGAAUAUUCUAAAUUUGAAUUAGUAAAAAAAAAAAAAAAAAAACCGUUUACUAUUAUCCCGAACUCAUCGGUUAUUUGCUAUUCGCACGGAUGACAAAUCCGUAGAAAAUUGAUUAUUUUCCGUCGCACUCGCGGUUCCUGUCGAAAACGGAAGCUUUGUUCGUUUUAACCGAGUAUACCGAGUACAUCGAGGCGUUUGUCUCGUAAAAGUGUCGUGAUACGCGCUAUUCGUUUAAAAAACAGUGUCGAUUUGAUGUGCGCAUUGUUCACACCGGCGAAUAAUAAGUGCGGGAUCGGAUAUUCGGCGAGCGCUUAUUAAUUGACGAUUAUUUGAUCAUACGCGCACGAGUCGAGUUAUCUCGUAUUUAUACAACCGCUUUAUCAAAACAGUAUGAUUAUAAUUAGGGGUGAAUCGAAUAUCGGAAAAUCGGUCAUCUCGUUUUUUUAUUUUUUUAUAAACCGAUAUUAGGCCCGAUAUUUUUCUAUAAAAAAAAAAAAAAAAUAGGUACUGGGUUAAUGUCAUUAUAUUUAUACUGUUUGGAUAUAAAAACCGAUUUUAUGCUGUUGAAUCUGGAUUAAAAACUAAAAUAUCGAGAAAAAACCUACGUACAAACACAAACAACAUGCUUAUACCCUUAAGUUAAUUGAAAGGCCAAUGCAUUCCAAAAAAAAAAAAAAUUAAAUCGAACAGCACAAAAUAGGUUAAAGUGUAAUUAUAACGACAUUAACCGUGAUGCAUAUAUUUAAAUUACAUCGGUAACAAUUGAAUUUUUUUGAUAAAUCGGAUAGUUUGAAUAUCGGCUCGUGGUUUCAAAAACCUAUCGUAUCGGUUAUCGAGUCUAUACCGGUAGCAAAUAUUUAAAUAUCGGACAUCGGAAAAAAGUCAUAUCAGCUCACCACUAAUUACUAUAAUAAUUUAUACGUUUCAACACCGAACAUUUGUUUGUCGGCGCACCUGCGGGGUUAUACGCGCCGGAACGCGAUCACGAAACUUUUGCGUUUUUUUUGUACACGUUAAAUUUUAGAUUCUAAAUGGAGCGCAGAAGCUUGUGGUCUUACAAAGAUCAUUAAUUUUUUUUUUUUUUAUCUGUGGACAACUUUUCUACCAGCAAUCUCGCUCCAAUUUACAAUGAUUGCAUCUUUUCUGAAAUGGAAUCUGACUGGAAAGAUAACUUCGGGGGGUUGUUUUUUGAUUUUUCCAGAAGUUUUACCAAUAAAUGGGAAAAACCGGGAAAGACGUCGGAAAAAUGGGGAAUUCAGUAUGAUAUUAAACAAAUGUUAUUAAAGAAAAUACAUAAUACUUAUUUAAUUAUUUUACUGUGAUACGGCAAAUAUAAUAUUGUUGACAAAUUGUUCACUAUCAGCCGAACUCCGUUCAGAAUCGUUUUUUUCGUUAACAAUGGUUUAUCGUUGAAUACGGGUAUACAUCAAAUUACCUAUAACAGUGGCUGCACCCGUCCCCGUUAUCGUAGGACGUCUUUUUAAAAAGUGCAGAACCGUAAAAGAUUCGCCGCGCACUCGGAAUAUAAGAGAUUUCCACGAGUGUACGAAAUAUAUUAUUAUUUUCCGUGCUCUCUCGCCAGCAGUAUUAUUAUAUCCGGUCUACCCGCUAUAUAUUAUUAUUAUUAUUGUUAUAUACUCUCGUAUAGUACAGUGGCUUCGGGGUCUGCGCCGUAUACGCAAUAAUAUACUAGCGAGCGUUUUCAACGUGUGCUUACCUAUACAUACAUAUACAUACCUGCCUCCCUUUUUACGUAUUAUAUCGGUUAAAAGCUUUUUAAACCCAUUUCGGAUAAAAAAAAUAAAAAACGUGCUCGGACGAAUUUAUAUACGUAUACUACAUAUAUAUAUAUAUAUAUAUAUAUAUAUGUAUGCAAUGACGCGUGUUUAAAAGCCGGUCGGGGCGGCGACUAUUAUAUUAUAACAUAUAUAUAAUAUAUAAGUAUAGGUGUACAAGAGAAAAAUAAAAACGCACUUAAAAAUACUUUUCCGCUCUCGCCGAGAGUUCGCUUCUCUCUACCCCCUCCCACUCCCCCCCCCGGGUAGGUAUGCGUAGGUACUUUUCUCGCGCGUAUACCGAUACACAAUAUAAUCUACGAACAACGCGAAUACAAUAUACGGCAUGUGCAUUAUAUUCGUCGUGUAUAAUAUAUAUAUAUAUAUAUAGGAAAAAAGCUCUUGUCGAAUGUUCGUGGCGAAAAAAAAAUACGUUAAAAAGGUUUUUUUUUUUCCUACACGCGUAGUGACUUUAUAUUUUAUGAUAUUAUACGGGCAAUUUUAGAUUCCGAACGUAGCGACGGAGCUAUUGGUUUUACAAUGCUGUUUAUUUCUUUUAGAUUCCAAGCGUAGCGAGGUCGUGUUUUGGUUUUUUAAAUAAAAGCACUUAAGUAGGGGAAAACGUACAAUUUUACGAUUUCAUUAUUUUAUAAAAAAAACACUAACGUCGUUUUCUACCAGAAAAAAUGAUUUACUCGAAAAAUCACAAGAAUUUUUUUUUGUUACCUUUUUGAUAUAUUUUCUUAGGAUAUCAUUGCCAAAACUUUUGAGUCAUUUUUGAGCGUUUAUGAAAUUUUAAUUUUUGGGAGUUUUUGGGAGGUUACAAAUACACGUAGAGACUUGAAACUUGGUAAUAAUACUUGUAUAGGACUUACCUAAACGUGGUAAAAUUUCCAAAAUCAUCGGAAAAUUUUUUUUUUUUUAUAAGCGUUUUGACAUUAAAUUUAAAUGAAUAUCGCAAAAAAAAUUUAGGACACUUUAAGUGCCCUGAUUGUAUUGCCGAACUGCGCUCUCGCAAUCGUCUUUCGUCAAACGAUGGUUUAUCGUUACUCACAGAUAUAAAUGAAAUAAUCUUAUGCAUCCUACCUUUCCAACUUUUCACCUAUAACAGUGGCCGCUCCCAUCCACAUUAUCAGCUCUUUUUUAUCUUUUUUUUUUUUUUCAUAUGAUACUCGAAAAAUUGUUUUACUCGUUGGGUUUGUAGCGGCCGGGUAGGGAGCGAAGCGUAAAUCGCAAUCGGUUUUUUUCCCGCGAGAGUUCAGGGCGAUUUUUAUCUUUUGAAAAAUACUAUUCGCUACCCCGUGCACCAUGUCCGCGUUCCAGCGUUUGUUAUAUUUUUAUUUUUUUUUUUUUCAAAUACACCGUUUUUUCUAUACGUAAUAGGUACAUAAACGAUACUUCACAAAUGCCCGUGAUACUCGAACGCCAUAAUAUACAUGGAAUACGAGUAAAAUAUCAAUGGAGACUCGUUUGCGCACAUAUUAAUAAUUUUUUAAAUUUACUACAAUUUGUUGGCGCACAAAAUUGUGAACAAUGUAAACCUGCUUGUGGGUACAGUUUCGGCCGUUCCGAAUGUACAGAGUAUCUUAAAGUAUAAUUAUUUAAAGAUUAUUUUCAAUCGUGGUUUCCUGUCACUAUCAUCAAUUGUUAUCUAUCAGUAAUACGUUAUAAUCGCGGUAAGCUUUAAUCUUUAUUUAAUCUAACGCUGUUUUCGUUAAAUUUGUUCGCUGAUAAUUAAUAACCCUUAUAAGUUAUAACUUAGAGUUAAGUCUCCGAACGGGGCGUAAUAACAAUGUAUGCUUUUUGUUUCACACGAAUGGAAAAAUGUUGUAUAAUAUUGAAUAGUUUUAAAUUUAAAAGAUGAAAUUUAACGCGUUUGCGUGUUAUUUUUAGUUUUCAAUGCGUAUUUUAAAGCAUAUUUUGCAUGUUCUUAGUGCAUAAACGCAUGCAUAUCCAAUACAUUUUUUUUAAUUUGGAGGUUGGUACGCAGGUUAGGUACACCCUAUAGGUGUAUCUAUACCUUACCUUCGCGGCGAUGUUUUUUUUUUUUUAUCUGUAAAUAACUUUUCUACCAGAAAUAUUACACCGAUUUACAAGUGUAGCAGCAAGGAACUCUUACUAAGGUAGUACUUUAGAAAGGUAAUUUUUCGAUUCUUUCAUGAGUAUUUUCAGUAUAUUAAAAAAAACAGAAAAAAUAGAGGAAAAACGGGAGAUUGGGAAAAUAAGUACAAUUAUAUUAAACAAAUAUAUAACAAAAGUAAAUGUUUAAUGCAUAUGAAAUUAUUUUACCAUAAUGUGACGUACACAUUGUUAACAAAGUAACGCUAUCAACUGAACUCCACUUAGAAUCGUUUUUUUAUUUUUUUUUUGUAAUCAAUGAUUUAUCGUUGCUUACAGAUAUAUAUUCAAUUUCCGUCUGCAUCCUACCUUUCCAACAACAGUAGAAUUUAUACUGCCGGAAUCGACGUAAAUUUUCACCUAGCAAACAAAAAAAGAUCCGGUCUGAACAUCAAAAUGUAAUAUGCCGAAUUUCGUCAGUAUUUUUGAACGGCCCUAAAUUUGGUUAGGGGCCGAACCAUUCGAUAACUAUAAUCGGUUGGCGGUGUACGUCGGCCAGGCGAAAACGAUUAAAAGUACGACGGGGCAUAUUAAAACAUCGCGAAAAAUCAUCGCAUUGAAAUAAAUAUAUUAUAGCUGGUUUACUAUAGAUUACAGUUUCGGGGAGGGAAUUUUUUUUUUUCAAGUCAGACCGCAAUAAUUUUCGAAAAAACAUACAUUUAUUAUUAUUAUUAUUUUGUCGGUUUUUUUUCCCCCGUCCGUAAACGACCGAUACGACAAUACUGGUCGACGAAAAAAAAAAAAAAAAAAUCGAUUUUAUUAUUCCGGGCGACCCUUUACCGGGUUAUUCGCGUCGCGUGUUUUCGCAUAUAUUAUUAUUAUGCGCGCGCGUUUUCGUAUACGUUACCCAAAUUAUAAUAAUAGUAUAAACUCGACGAUUUUUUUUUUUUUUUUAAUGCGGCUACAAGAAUAUUAUUACAACGAGAAUACGUGCUGCAGUCCUUCGUCCUGUAGUGUAUAAUAUGAUUAUAUUAUUAUAUUUAGGUACCUAUAAACAAAUCGAUGGCGCGCGUUUGAUCCCAUGCAAGGGACGUGAUACCCGCGCGUACAGUCUCCGCCGUACGAGCGCACGACACGGCGUAUUUUCGUUCGGCGGGGACAAUUUCGCGCCAUUAGUUUUUGAUUUCAGAGCGAUUUUACCGAUUAUCACAGAGAUGAGAACAUAAUCCGCUCAACGUUGGCGCGAUUUUCGCCGGUGUUUCAAUUCCAAAAUAAGAAAAACGGUUGUGUGACCUUUAAACGAGGUUGAAUCUAAUAUUAAAACUAACGGCGCAGUGUCGUACAGGGCAUGAUUUCAUCAUUUUUCGUGUAGCACAAUUUUUUAUCUGGGCAAGCAGAACCUAAGGGGCUUUCCCUACUCACAUCUCUCUCACAUAGUAAUAAUAAACCGAUUGCGAAAAUCAUAAAAAAAAAAAAAAAAUCAACAGCCGAUUGUACAAUAGCAGAUAAAAUAUGCCAAUACUGUUAUGAACACCUGGUUUAAGUAUAUGUUAUGACGAUAUGAAUAACGGAGAUUGUACAGGACGUGGUCGAGUUGACGCGGGAUAUGCCGCGACGGUAUAUCGCGGACUGCGUCAACUAGACACGGCCCCGUCCCCUAGAGCAGUCUGGCCGGGCAGUCUGGUUGUAACCAAGCAUUCGGCAGUACCUCCGUAAAUCAGAUUUUUGUAUGUCAUUAACAUUUGUUAGACUAUUUAAAUAUAGUUGUUUAAUUUUAAUAAUUCGUAUGUGUUCACGAAAUUAUUUUAUUUGUUGUCGACUUGUAAUAAGUUCAUAACCGUACUAUAGACCGAUACUGGGUGUAUCGGUAUCAUGGUACACGAUACAGUUACAUAUAACCAUCAAAGAUGAUAAUCUUUAUCGUGUAUUAAGUAUAUUUUUUAACGUUGGACUCUGGAAUAUCUAAUUGCUAUAAGUUCUAAUCUUUGUUCAUUAUUCAUUACACACUUAAUAAUUCCGGGCUACACACGUUGGAUUUCAUAUUACACGUAAAAGCUCUGCGAUUUCGUUCCUGUUGAACGUGAUUUACUAAACCGUACGGUCGUAAGACGACGAAAACACAUGCGGGUAUCACACACUCUUACAGUCCCCCUUACAGGGGAUUACAGUCGUUGUAAACAUGACGGUAUAUUAUUUAGUUAAAAUAUUCCAAAAAUCGUAUGUGUUACGAAUUGACGACAAAGAAAAUAAAUAUAAAAACAGCAUAUUUUUGAUGGUCGAUAUCACAGCUGAAGAAAAAUAUAUCAAUGUUUUUAAAAUAGCAUCGGCCAUAAUCUAUAGAGUAAGCUAGUUAAUCAAUCAAAAUUGAAAUUGAAAUCCGUUAAACCCAACCUUCACAUUUUGGACAUGCUUUUCGGACUGAAACGUCAUAUUCGUCAGUAAGGACAGCCGUUCCUUUUACCGUUAAAAAUGACAGUAGAUUAUUGGAAAUGUUUUUUGCAGGCAUUUGACUUCUCUAUCUUUAUAUAACGGUCAUUUAGCAAAAACGAAUUCACGUUAAACAAACGAAAAGGGCUUUAAAAUCGCUUUUAACGACAAAAUACCUGUAUUGUAUAUAAUUUGAUGAUAUUACGACAUUUUUAAAAUAUAAGUUAUUAAAAAAGUCGCGGUUAGUGGGGGGGGGGGGGUUAAAUAUAAAAUAACAUUUUUUGUAUCUUCAAUAAUGAGCUGUAGAUGUUUAGCGAAUUGUAAAACGCCGAUAAUAGGCUGUCUAAAAGUAUUCUCGUGUGUGCAAAUUAUUACCCUGUUAAUACUAUAAAUAAACAAAGAUUAUGAUUGGCUGGCUAACACGUCAACAAACAGCCCAAACCGCUACAGAAAUUUGAAAUUUCGCGCAGAAAAUAGUCACCACAAUAAAAGGAUUUUUCAAAAUUCAACCCCUAAGGAGUGUCAAAGUUUGUACGGGUUGAAAAAAAACACGUUGUAUAAAAAUGUAUUAAAUAAAUAAUUUUACCUUAGUGGAGAGAGAGCAGUGUCGCUAUUUUCAACAUUUUUUUUUUUUAAACAUGUUUUGAUUUAUUAUUUAUCCUGUGAACGAUUAGUUGCGACAAAGAUAUUGUCUGGGAAUUGGAUACAGCAAAACUUUUUACAUACAUAUCAAAAAUGCAUUAUAAGUUGCAAUGUUUACAGAAUUCAGUAUAAAUCCUGUUUUUAAAUACCUACGCGUGCUCAGGGCCCCCGUAGCCCCCACUCCUGUGUAUCCGCCCCGUGGUUACGACUAACAAAUAUUUAUUUACACGUUAGAUUUUGGAAAUUCAACCGCGUUUAUAAUAUUAUUGUUCACUCCUCGCGGGUUACGACGGGGCGGUAUAAUUUCAAAUUCGCGUAACGUUGUUUUCGUAAACGAUUUCCCCGUUUCCAAAACGUACAGAUUCAUUUUCGUAUUGCGCGUGCGCUGGCGUUGUGUAACUGUCCGAAUCGAUCGAGCGACUUCUGUUACGUAUACGCAGAAGACAAUAAUAAUAAUAAUAACAACGAUACAUUUCUGUAAUCGGAUAUCUCUGCUCGCUGUCAAAUUCCGUAACGUUUUUCGUAAAAAAAAAAAAAAAAAAAUGUACAUAUACCCAUGUAACAAGAGCGAAACAAAAUUAAAACGUCUUGGUUUUCAGACACCGGACACCGGCCGGAUCUUUUAUAUUGUUGCGUUGCGCUUACACAACACACCGUGUGGCAAGAAUGUCGUUAUCGCGUUAACACGUUGCCGAUCGCGGUGUAACGUUUCGAACCGAAGAACCGUCCGAAAACCGCGGCGGUUUUCGCGAAACGCGGACGCGGACGUUUUCGUUCAAAUAUCAUAUCGUGAUAGCGAUAACGGCCGCGACGUCGCUCCCGGAGCCGUUUCCGUUGUAGCGUACUCAACGCCGCGUCGCGCAACACGGUCCGAAAUGGCGCUGUUAACGUUCGACGGGAACGAAGGCGGCCGAAUAUUUUGCCGUUCCUGCAGACGGCCGGUGCCGAACGAUUGAUAUGGAACCGUUACGUAGCAGGGCGCGCGAACAACGACCGUCCGGGACGGCGGAACGAGUGCGCGGUAAAACAAUCAACGAUACCUCGGGCAAUGCACGCGUUAUUCGCGGAUAACGGGCGAAAAUCGGCCGCUGGCCGGGCAACACGGAAACGUUCCGUGGGCAAACGGGACAGCGCGUUUUAGUGAAGCGGAAAACAAACGACUGCCCGGCGUAAAUGUUACGGUACGUUCUCGAACGGUUACGGCCGAAACGGGCGAUCGGGCGGCUAACGGCGAUCGGACGAUACGCGAUAAGUGACUUUUGAAAAAAAAAAUAUAUAUGCCGUCUCGUGUACCGUUUUUUGACGUUGCGAAAUCUCGUUAUCGAUUCGAAAAACCGGCCCGUCCGUUCGGGUCGUCCGGUCGUCCGGCGGUCAGAAUCGCGUCACACGUCCGCGACCGUCGUUCGUGAUUCGUGUUUCCGGCAGCACGCUCGAGCCCGGCGCUCUCGUAUAUUCCGCGGUUUUUCCAUUCGGUGCGCUGCCCGCGCCGGCCGAUUUCCGCAGUUCAACACGCCCGGCGUUACGUUCGGACCGUCCGAUUAUUGACCGAUCAUUAACCGAAACGCGAUUCCGCUCUACACGCCGCGCUACUCAUCGCGAUCCGCCGCUGAUAUUAUGCGGUAAUUACGGUGUCGGACAAGUGCGACAGCCGCGCGGCUAUCGUACCGGGUCGCAAUAGGGAUCGCCGAUUGUCCCGGGGCAGGCCGGCCGGGAAAACGACCGCGUCGUAUUGUAAACAGUACGCGGGAACGGAAACGCGGACGUUAUUUUUCGCCGGACUCCCGCGGUCGCGGCGGCGAACGGAAUUGAAAUACCUUACGCGCUCGACGUCGAGCGUUCGUUUGUUUUCGGAACUCUACGCUUUUACUUACCGCGUACUCGAUGGUAAUAUAUUGUGCGCGUUAUACAAGACGGCCGCGUACCGGAAUAAUUUGUUGAUAUCAAAAGGGUAUACGAGGGGAAAAAUUACAUUGUGUAAAAAAUUAAAAAAAAAAAAAAAAACCCCCGACCCCGUCGCGGGUUAAUGGGGUUUGUUUUUUUGCUUUCGGAAGACCGCGACCGUGUGCGCGUAUACCCUGUGGCGGCGGCGGCGGCGGCGGCCUCGCCUUUACACCUGACCGAAAUCCCACGAUCCCCCUGCCCCCCGCGGCCGCGGCCGCCGCCCGAUGUUUAUUUUAACCCUUUUCGUAAUUUCUCACUUCUCCCGGCGCGGCCGCGUACGGCUAUGCCGUACAGCAAAUACGCGCGCACACAGCCGCUGCAGGUACUGUGUGCGUGCGCGCGCGCGUUUGUGUACGUGUACGCGUACGGGGCACUCGUAUACGUUCUCCUCGGCGUUAUUAUUAUGCAGAUGUCUCGGAGGCCGGUCUAAAAUUAUUAUAAUAUCUGUACGCGCACGCCGUAUUGUACACGCAUAUAGGUACGAUAAUGUACAAACACGACGCGGCGGCGCAUUCUUUCGCCUAAUGGAGCGAACCCUUUUUUUAUCUCUCUCUCUCUCUCUCUCUCUCUCUCUCUCUCUGUCUCUCUCCUCAAUACCCCAAACAAAGCCCGCACACAAUAACAAUAUUAUAACGUCGAGGUGCGCGCGCGUGCGUACGCGCGCAGUGUAUAAAAAAUAUUGUAUCGGAAAUAUUACAAUCACCUUUAUUUUUAUUAUUAUUAUUAUUAUUAUUAUUUUUUCAUUUUUCAUACCCGCCGCCGAUCCGCGACGACGAUAUUAUACGAUAAUAUAUUAUACGAAAAUCCCUCCCGUGUAGCCGGUGAUUUAUCGGGGGUUUUUUUUUUUUUUCUCUCUAGUUCCGGCGGCGCCGUUUACCGCGCGCACAAUAACAUAUUAAUAUUCUUCCACGGUAUUAAUAUUUAUGCGCGCAUAAUAAUAAUAUCGAUAAUAAUUCGUACACAGUGUAGCGGUAUGGGCCGCGGGUUUCCGUGUUGUUCGGAUGCCUAUAAUAAUAUGGGCGGGCACGGAGCGGGGACGAUUGUUUAUCAAUAUUUUCAGCUCAAUUUUUUACAAACCGCGUUUCUCUAUGCGGAUUGCGGUGUGCGCGCGUGUAAACUUCGACUACAACCGUCUACGCUCACGCGUCACGAACUCUAUUGCGUUUUCAGUCUCUGCAGAGUGUAUCGCGAAUAAACUGUCAGUUUUACUGUGAUACGUGUGUGUGUGUGUGUGUGUGUGUGUGUGUGUGUGUGUGUGUGUUUUCCCCGUAUUUUUCUCCAAAAACAAUUUUUCGGUUAUAAAAAAAUACGCUAAUUCAAUACGAGUCGUACACCUCGAAAUACGCCUUGGUCACCUCAGUACCAACUUUACUCGACCGAUAUUUCCGAAUACUGUUUACGAAAACAUUCACUCAAUCAGACUGUUUGGAAAACAUUUUUUCGGUCAAUAUAAGAAUUAGACUACAAACUAUAAUAGUAUAGCAAUUCUCUUCUAUUAUUUUUCAAUUCCGAAUCCACUAUCUAUUACACGUAAUUGAUUAGUAUGAACCGUGCUCUCCCUGCACACUAUAAAUAACCUAUACCUAUGCCUCUGAAUACAUGACGUACCCGCAACGAUGGAUCUAACUUAAAAUUGGCCAUUUAUAACGAUAAAACACGAAAACGUCAAGGGGUACAACUACCGCUCCCACGGUUAUAAAACCGUUCAUCGGACUCGGAUAUCGUCCGAUUAUUAUAUUUGAAUUCUCUUAUCGUCUGUUUAGCUCGUAUUCUUAAUCGGCCGACCGACCGACCGACCGAUGAUGACCUAUGUAUACUGAAAAUAUUAUUAUUAUAUUUUAUUCGAGCAAGGUAAAAUCGAGAGUUUUGGGACAGAAAAAUAAUAUUAUAACAUUCCAUUCGUAAUCGUAAACAUUUGUACGUAACAUGUUUUUGUGGAACGUCUUCAGUUGUAGAACUGCAUAAUAAAACGUAUCCCGCGGUAUAUCAUCAUAAAAGCUUCGAGUUUUCCCUCCGCGCGAGAGAUACGACAGAUGCCCGCAGUAUUUACAGCGCGGUUAUACAAUAAUAACUUUACCGGGGUACCGUAAAAAUCGUACCUCCGGAUAAUCAUACCCUUCUGGUAUUUAAAAUCCUGAAACAUACAUAGUAAACGAUACUUUCUUAAAUGACGAACCUCGUGUUAAAUUUUCAACCAUUUUUGCUCGAUCAAAACAAUGUUAUUCUCUUAAUUUUCUUUAAGUCUCUACGAUUAUGUUCAACCGAAUCUAAAAAAAAAAAAAGAAAAACCGUUAUUACGUACGUUUUUCCGUUGUCUUUUUAAAAACUACUUGAAAGGGAACCGGAAAAAUUGUCUUUUCAACGCGCUCAUUGGACAAAAUUUGUUAUUAGAAACUAUCCCUAAAUUGGACGAUCGGCGCAAGAUAUCUGAUGGAAAUGUUGUUUAGAGACAGAAAAAAAAAAUCGAUACACACGUCAUAGUUAAAACUAAUACGGUUCUCGCUUCGCUCAGUGGAGUCUGUCAUUAUCGAAACACUGAAUUCAAUUAAAAAAAAGAAAUAAAAAGUAGAUGUAGCUGGUACCUUGUGUAUAAUAUAACUACUAUAGUUUCGUAAUUUCGCGGCAUUCAUUUACAUAUUGUAUACGUGUAUACUAUAACUAUGGCCGUAUAAGACAUCGCGCGCAUUGUGCAUUUUAUUAUUUAAAUUCAACGAUAAAAAAUAUUCUCGCAUUCCAAAAGAAAUUUUCGUGGUAUAAGAAAUACGUAUUGUUAUUAAUGGUAUUACGCCACGAGCGGUUUGUAACGAAACAAACAAGACCAUUAACUUAAUUUUCGUAAAACCUAUUGCCUACAAAGUACGGACAACAGAUUGUCGCGCGAUAAAAUCCAUAACGUUAAAAUGUCAAACGUCGUGAACGAAUGAAAACAAAUACCGCCGUUAGAAUAGAAGCGAAAAAAUUAAAAACACGCAUUCGAAAUACAAAAUAUCACCGAAUGGGUGAUUUCGAAACCGGCCGGAUUUUUCCGUGUACGCAAUUUCACCCAGGUUAUUUUAACAGUAUGACAAGACGAGCCACGUUAAGGGCGAUCGUCUCGACUUUAAGAUCUGCGUCCCGCUUUUCGGGUUGUCCCACUUUCACGGAAAUGUUUAGUAUUGUUUUGUUUUGUUUUUGGUGUUGGCGUAAUCUAUAAGAAUCGAGGGUAAAAAGCCCCUGGCCAAAAACCACACAAGGAAAAAAAAAGCCACAGGAAAAGAACACAGUUAUUGGCGUCUCAAAAACCUUCUUUUUUUUUCUUAGGUUUUUUUUUUUUUUUUAGGUUUAACGAUAACUUCCAUCAUAUGAAAAUAAUAAGGUAACCAACCGAUGAACGAACCCGUAUUAAAUAAAUUGUUUUUUUUUUUCCUUCGUCGGGGCUCUUUGGUCAGAGGCUUUUUUCCCAAAUACCAACCAUAACCAUGUUGCUAGUCGGUCGGUGACACUUCCGACAUUGACUAUAGCGCAACGCACAUUACGCAUGAACAUUGUUUACUCUCGUAAAAGUUGACACGCCGUAUUGUUAAUGUUCCGCGAGGCGAGCAACGCGUACACCAGUAAUUCGAACAGCGAGUAAGUAUAGUUCGGCCGUUCUCAAAAACCCGUUCGGCGUAAUAACCGAACGGUUUCCGCGCGUCGCUCGGGGAACUCGCCAUCGGACGUCAGCAAAUCUCAUCUUGUGUCCGUCCCGUCUCCCGCCCGCCGCUCAACCCACGACUUCCCGGCAUUCGGGUCCGGUAUCCACUCGUCGAAUCGCACUUUGCGCGCUGUCGGCGUAUUAGACCGACGCACGCAGACGCGUUAUUACAUUGUGCCUACACGGUCAUGAGCCUCCGGCGUCGGCGGCGACCGCGCACACGGUCGGCAUAUCGCGCGCGCUGUAUAAACCGGUUGCCACGGUCCAACGGUAUGCGAUCGUGACGACGUCGUCGGCGAACGGAGUAUCGUUUCCGCCGGCACGACGACGUCGAUAACAGUAUUAUAGGACUGUAACAACGUGACGAUAAAAAAAAAAAAAAAAAAACGAAAAGAAAAAGAACCCCGGAAUCGUAUACGAGUGUCCGACCUAUAUAAUAAAGAAAAACAAUGCGAAUUGUUCUCCGCGCCGGAGAGAACGUUUACGUACAAUCGCGUCGACAUCAACGAUCAGCAACGGAGUCUUGCGCAUCACAACCGAAUCGGCUCGGAAUCGCGAAACGUAACCCUGUCGACAUUUCGAAAUCUCUCCGCAACUCCACCUCUGUUUCGCGUAAUAUUUCUACGCGGAGUACAGGCUUUCUCGCAAUCGCCCGUUAACGCGACUUCGGUUUUCGUCGACUCGGGUAGGUAUAACAGCACGAAUCUCGUUGUGCUUUUAUUCGGUUUUUCAAAUAACUGCCGUAGCGGUACCACGCGCGAUUCGCAUGACACACGGAAAUCGCCGACGACCCGGGGAAAUAUCAAAAUAUACGAAUUUUUUUUCGGGCAGAAAUAAUUUCAAUUCUGAUAUCGAGUUUGUCCACGCAAAGCAACUGGGUCCGAAUCGAAAUGAAAGGAAUGCCGCGGCGGCCGUUGUCGUGCACCGAAAUUCUUCCUUCGUGAUUGGUUGUUUGUACUCCGUCUCUCUGGUACUCCACAGUACUCAGUCCGUAAUUUAUUUAAAUUAAUUUAUGUAUUGUACACUGUGUGGCUUGCGCAACGGCAUCGGCGCAGUAGACAACAACAGAUGCAUAUAAAAUACAGAGACGGGCUAUAAUAUUUCAGUGUUCGGAUACCGGGAAAAAUAUCGGUCAAUAACGUAUCCGAGUCGCUGAAACACUUAGUUUUCUUAAGAGUUUUUUUAUUUUUAUUUUUUUUUUUCUGGCGUUACGGUUUACGAGCAACGACGACCGGAAUUUUCCGCAAAAGGCUUCCCGGGGACCAUAUUUAUAUAUUACUAAUACGGUACGUUUUCAAACGCCUCGCUUCCCGAAAAACCUUGGCUCUUUGAACCUUGGAUGCCACUGACUACAGGUAUAUAUCCGGGUGUAUACCGAGUGGUGUUCCAGUGUAGAAGCAAGACUAAUAGCGUAGAUUUUUCUCGUAGAAUCGACCGAAUAAUAACUUCAUACUAUUUUUAUAGUAUAUAGUAUUGCCCAUUUAUGGAGCCUUCGCUUUUUCCAGUAUUUCACGUCAUCUUUCUCUGUUCUCGUUUCACGCGCACCGUUGUCCAAGGGCGGUUCCUAUAAGGUCUUCGCUAGAUUUCCACCGUCGUUCCCAUUUUGCGUAUCCUACGCACCCUAUUAUCUCUCCAUUCCCAUUUAACUGUUUCGCUCCUAAUACACGCUUCAAUAUUUGCAGUGUUUGUCUGUAACCGCGGCAGGUGAUUGCUUUCUCGAUUGUUCUAGAUCCGUUUUUUUUUUUUUUUUUAAUAACCGGACCGUAAAUCCGUCGCCGGAGUUUUUAUCGAGUCGCAUUUUUGUUACCGACCGCGUUUCGCGGCCUUACAACGGGACUGAUCGUGGGUACAGCUCGAGUAUAUACUAUAAAGGCUCGUCUCGUAGAUUACCCUCUGAAUAGAAAUCCGUACUCGAACCCGCUUCGAAAUUCCACGUGUCGAUAGCAAUAUACGCGAAAAUGUUAUCGUCGUACGCGCUCGUUAUUGUGACGGAAAAGGCGACCUGCUCACCGUGCAACCCCUCGCACUGUCACCGCCGUGAUUUCGACAUCCGCCCCCGCGGAAAACGCGCGCGAUAUAUUAACAUUUUCUUUCCGGCCCUUCCGCGUCCGUCACCCGCCGCCGGUCCUUUUGCGCGGAAAGUGCCGCCGCGCCAAGAGUCGAAAACCGCCCGCCCGCCAGCCAUUCCCGCGGAAACAACCCCUUUUUUCUUUUCUGUUGUGUGUGCGUGUGCGUGUGUGUACGCUACGCGACUCUACCCGAUUCUCUUUUUUCUUCCCCUCUCCGUGCCACACCCGCCCCUAUUAUUAUGGAUGGGAUUUUAACGAUAUACGCCUUAACGCAUACACACGCGCGCACAUAACACUGAGCGCCGCAUGUCUGGAGACGCUGCACACGACGCUAUACGCGCGUACGCGACUUUAUUAUUCGGACGGGGUUUUUUUUUUCCUCCCGUUUUCCCGGGUCGUUCCGCCAGCCGCCGCCAGACACGUUCUCCCGGCCGGAGAGGUCUCUUUUUUUCCUUUCUUCUUUUUUUUUUUUUUAUGUAUAAUAUCUUUUCGCAUAACGACCUGUACCUCUCCGCCGGGCCGCCGCCGCGAUCCGAAGCAAACGGCGGGGGGCUAUCAACAGUCUCGCCGCGCGUGUAUAGUGCUGAUACGCACGCGCGACCGCACACACCGUCGCAAGGGCGGCAGAUACAAGAAUGAGUCGACGGCAAAAUAUCGAGGAUGCGAUAAAACACAAUAGCAAUAACAACACGAUACGCGUAUAUACAGGGUGAAUCGGAACAUCCGAACACGCUUGCCGUUACAGUCGGACGGUGGCGCGCCAAAGUUGGUUCGAGGCCAUAUGCCUCAUCUGCAAUGUUUUCAAUUAUAAUGUUUGAUGUCAAUUUAAAAAAAAAAAAAAUUAUCAUCAUAAACGCUACGCAAUAUUACGAUGUUAAUAAAAUAAUUACUUUACAGUUUACGCAUUAAUCGUCGUUCUUCAAUCUGUUUAGCACUGAUUAUAACUUGCACUAUUUUGUAAUUCUAUCUAUGUUCAUAUUCUGAACGCAGCGCAAUGGUGUGUGCUUUUUUUUUUUAAAACAAUUUUUUUCCGAAAACCAGAAAUCUUGUUGCGAUUUUCAAGUGUAGCGUCUUUUCUGAAUGAAAAUGUUAUCCAGUCGGCGUCUAGUGGAUAUCAUUUUUUGGAUUUCCCACACAGUUUUCAUAAAAUAAAUGGUAAAACCUAGGGGAACAUUUAAGAAGCACGGUAAAGUUUGCGUCAAUAAAAAGGUUUAAUUGUUUUAUUUUUUUUUUUUUGUAAUUCGAUUAAAAUUAAUCUUAGAGAUUUGAAUUUGCUAAACGUUCUGCCGAUUUUUGAGUCAUUUAUACGUAUUUGACAUUUAUCGGGUUUGUUUUAGUUUUUACGUGGAUAUAUUAUUAUAAUUGUUUUCGCCGCAGCACAGAAAUGAUUGAUAAUUUAACACGAGGUGGUUCAUUGCGAAUUUUAAUCAGUGAUAAAAAAAAUAGUUUUUAUAUAGGUCUAUAAAAAGCAAACUUUUAAUUUUCAAAUUUAAAAUAACAUAUUAAUAUUUAUAAUAUUUAUGCGUUUAUUUUUGAUGAUCCGGCAGGAUUAACUUCGGGUAAACUGUAUCGGGUUUUUGUGGCGGGGAGAGGUGAAAACCAAUAAUGAAUUGACCAUGACGAAAUGUCCGUCGCUCUGCCGCGUGGCCGGGAUAUCAUUGUUGAGCGCGCGUGUACAACAAUCAUUUCGACGGUCUUGCGCGAUAGGUUUCACAAGAAAAUAAAAAAAUUAGAAAAAAUAAAACGGCGAUAUUUUGUCAUUAAUAUUAUUAUUAUAUUUUUAUCGUAUGGACAAAACUCUGGUCUGGCGGCGGCUAGUGUAUGAUUUAUGAGCCGCGCGAGCGUUCUCCUCUAUACCGACGGGUUCAUUAGCAUUAUUCACGGGGGUACCUAUUGGGUGCGGCCGUAGUUGAAUUUAAACAAAUAUAUAUACAUACAUAUAUGCAUAUAUUUUUUUAUUAUUAUUAUUAUUAUAAUUCAAAAUACACGGGCGGAUUAAAAAAAAAAAACACACACGCGCGCGGCGGUCAAGACGACGAAAAAUCGCGUGUACCACGUACAGCAGGUACACGGAAAUAUUAUUAUAAUAAUGCAUCACGUCACAAUGCAUUUAUAUUUCUUGAAUAAUAGCUAUAAUAUUAUUAUACGAGCACUCAAACGAAAAACGCGGACCGAAUGGGUUUUUUUAAAAAAAUAUAUUUUUCCUCAAGCUCGCUUAAGUUGUGGAUUCCAGUCGGCGAUUUUCCGUCUUUGUGUAACGCGUAAAACACUCGCAAGAGCUACACAUGCCUACACCCCGAAAACAUUUCGUGACGUUCGUCGGUCCGGUUUUAAUGGUCUAAAAAUCAGGUGAUCUAUUAUCGAACAUCUAUCAGUGGAAUAAUUUCGAUUUUAAAUUCUGAGUGGACCGAGGAAUGUAUUUGCUUUACAAUGAUGUUUAUUUCUUUUUUAUAUGAAUACUUUUUCUACCGGAAAAGAUACUUCCAUUAUCACGUAUAGCAUCUUUUCUGAAAGAAAAUGUUCUUUGGAUGGUACAUUAGAGAGGUCAUUUUUUGAAAUUCUCGUUAAUAUUCGAGGUAAUGAGGAAAACCUGUUUUUUUUUAGUUAAAAAAGAUUGAAAGAUUUAUAAUAAGGUUGUCAUUGGCAACCGUUUAUAUUUGUUUUUUUUUAUAAUUAAGUUUUUAUCGUUUUAAAUCUUUUUUAAACAAUCAUUGUUGUCGUGGAAACAUUCAUUGUUGUAAUCAUUUUACCAUAAUAUUACAUAUAUACUGGUGACAAACAACAUUAUUAACUGAACUCCGCUCAGAAUCGAUUUUUAGUUAGCAAUGGUUUAUCGUUGCCUACAGAUAUACAUUAAACUCCCGUCUGUAUCCUACUUUCCCAAAUUCCUACUUACAAAAGUGAUUGUACCCACGUGCGAAGCAUGUCCGUCCUUUUAUUUUUUUUUUUAAAUACGCGUGUGAAUGCCACAACCCCCGUCUAGAAUUUUCAACGCAACAAAAACAAAAUAAUUUCGUAUAUUAUAACCCCGCGAGAUCCAUUUUAGCAAAGUAUCGGUACUGUAUACUAGGACGUAACUCCAAACAAUAUUAGCCGAAUCUACGGAUAAAUCUGAAACUCGAUAGCCAUAUACCAAGGUGGUGGACUUGUAUUGAUCUACCCACGAAAUAAUACUUUUGUAUUGACGCUAUAAAUUAUUGCAACCACGGGGGAUCUGACUUCAAAUGCAUUUCCGUCGGACUUGAACGAUCUAACGUCGUCGGUGUUGGAAAUUUUUGACGAAUUAGCCGUGUGCACGGUUGUUGGGAUUCAAUCGUAUAGCUGCAAUCGAGUUGUACACAGUGAUCAAAUCGAAUUAAACGGUUUGCCUUCAACCAAAAUCAUUAGUGCGAUAUGACAGUUAGCAAUCUCUCUUUCUCUCUCUCUCUCUCUCUCUCUCUCUCUAACUUUGUCAGUCUCCAUUACUCUCCAAAAGUUUCUACCACCAUCACUAAAUAUCACUCUGCCGAGAAAGUUCCCGUGUCUCUUUCUUCCGGCUUGCAGUCCAAUACGAUCAUGAUAAUUUCUGUAUCUUCAUUACACCGCAUCAUACGGCCCAUGAAUCUAGAACAAUGUACGUUUAUCUGUGCAUCUGAUCGAUGAAAAAUUACUCUUUGUUUUGUUCUUCUAUUACUUUCGAUCGGUAUUUCUUUCCGCGCAUACCCUCGCCCUCGACCGUUGGCGGACGUACUUACCAUAUUAUACUUGGCCUACACGCCGACGACGAUUUGGCACGUGGGCGAACAUACCGUCAGACCUCGGGACUCGGUACAGCAACCCGACGGAAAUUUAUUAAUACCCCACCCCCCCUCGCAACCCUGAUUCUAUCACUCCGGUGGCCUCGACUGCAGGAAACAAAAAAAAAAUAAACAACAAUUUUUUUUUUCUUUUUAAUGAACGCCGCGUUCAAAUUGUUUCCCCCCCCCUCCCGACUAGACAGACGGGUACCGCGCGAUGCCUACGCUCGCUGUGUUCCGACGACGAUGACCGGCGCACGGCAUUACAAUAAAACCGACGUCGCAACCGCAUCGUCAUUAAACAAUUAUUUAUCGGUUUUAUUUUUGAAAAACGGUAAGUCGAGUCCCCCGGGUACGAAAACGAAAGCGGCCAAUACGCACUGUGUCCCACGCGUCUGAAAACGAAUACGCCGCGCACAGUUAUCGAGGAACUAUUAUUAUAAUAGUCGGGUUUUUUUUUUUUCGAAUGACUGUGUUCAGAUUCUGAAUGUUUUUUUUUCCUCCUAACUACUACACGUGGGUGACAACUAUACGGAGAUAAGCCCUCUUAACGAACGGCGUCAAGUGAUGUGCGUUCUGUCUGCUGUUGUAAGCACCGAACAACGAAAAUUCCCCGUCAGCGAGAAUGUAUUACCUAUGUAUUACUAAUAUUUAGUUUCCAAAACGUGUUCCCAAAAUUCGUAUCGUUUUGGUUUUUUCAUGAAUCCGUUACAGUUUUCAAACCUAGCAAUCGAUUUUCGACUCGCUAGAAAUUUCACACGCAUUCCGUAGUUCAAAUGACAAAUGGCAAUACUGCAGGAGAACAUUAAAUACACGUGGAACACAAUUAGAAUAAUUUCAAGUAGUGGGCCUGAACGGGUUAACGAUUCACGGUUAUUGAAAAAUACAAAAAAAUGAAAGUAAUUAAUAUUACUAUCACAAUACAUAUGUUAUGAUUACAAAUCAGGAUUUAUCUACUUCGAAGCAUGGGUAUUAGCCGCGUUGGUCAUCACUGUUGUAGGUGAGAGAUUUUGGAAGGUGUAUCGUGUACAAGGUGAUCCCACAAGGCAUUUUGAAAAUGAUAAUAUUUCAUAAAUAUUUUGAAGUGGUUAAAUAUUUUACCAAUAAUAUUGUAUACAUAUUUUAUUAUACGAUUUAUCAAAAUGGAUUUUAAAUAUUUAUAUAUUUCCAAGAAAAUAUAAAAACUAAACGUUUUAGAAUUAUGAGAUUAAAAUGUUUGACAAAUGUUAUUCUAAAAUAUUUUCCAAACAUGAACUAUUUGGGCGAAAAUUAUUUCGAUAAUAUUUACACCAUUAUUCAAUAAUAAUCGAAAAUAUUUUGACACCUAUAAAAUGUUCCUAAAAAUAUAUUGUUCAUAUUAUGGAAACAUUUUUUGCUGUGUGGGAUCGAACUGAUUUACUAAAACCGAGCGGUUAUAUUCGUAGUAGAAAAGAGGUUUGCAGGUAGAAAAAAAAAACACACACACACAUCAUAGUUAAAUCACCUCGCCAAGCUCGGAAUCUAAAAUGUCCCAAGAACAAAAAAUGUCCGAAGUCAAAAAAUUCACUAUAUUAUUUAUACGUAAUUUGAUGGCCCGUGAAAUUAGAAAAAAAAAAUUAGACAUUUAUUAACUCAAAAACGGACAUUCGCGCAGGGCGAUCGAAAAUGUUUUAUGUACGUAACCGGACGUGUUACACAGCGAAACCUGUCGUUAUGCUAGUACAAUACAAAACGAACAAAACCAAAACUGUUCGACGUGACUGUAUACAUGGUGAUUUUUCCCGAAGGAUUUAAUGUGAAUUUGAUUUUUUUUUUUCAAUAAUUCACAGAGAAAAUAUUUUUCCGUAUACAAACGUUGACGUCGCGCGCACGAAAUACCGACGCCGGAUUUGCCGUUUGUGCCGUUCACAGCACUUUAAAGUUUAGACCGGAAGAGUAGGGAAACGUUAACGAUCUAUAUCCUGUGACAAUGGAUAUGAAGUUCAUUACCGUUCUCUAUGCACCCGGUCUAAAUUUUUAAACAGUGUUAUAGUGAAACUAUAGUUCGUCAACGCUCCAAUCCGAUAUCAGCGUUACGCGUCGUAUCGAAAUGUCUAGGAGAAUGUGUUUCUAUUCGAAACUGUGUUUAAAAGGUUCCUAUUCGAAUGUCCGAGUAUAAUAUGUCACGGACAAGAGUAUACAAGGAACAGGAUCGGAGAAUUAAAAGCAGCGUUAAAAUAAAUCUCGAACGAUUCCAUAACGAUUUAAACUCCUCCGAGAAAAAUCGCCGGCUCGUGAUAAGCAGACCAUCCUGUAUAUUAUGCAUAUAUGGCUACGUAGGAUAAUAAAAACUUGGUAUUAUAGAUUUUUAUGCGUUUAUUUUGAAACUCCGAGAAUAUGUAAUAAUAAUAAUUAUGUUUUAUUCAUGAGCCAAUAAUAUUUCUGUGGCGGCCGGUAUACGUAUACGAUGAAAAAUAAAAAAAAAUAAAAAAUAAUAAAAAUAUUGUUCGGUGUAUAUUUCAAUAAAUUACCGGUGUAAAAUCCACUAAAUUAUAAUAUUCUCGAACGAGUGUUUUGCAAAUUUAUCGACAUGAAUAUCCUGCCGGACUGCUAUCCGUAUACCGUGGAAACUAGUUAGAAAGUCGACGGAAUGUCACAACGUGAAUUCUUGUCAAUUCUCUGAAAAAAAAAAAAAAAAAAAAAAAAUCAAUCAGUAUACAUUACGAUACACAUUCCUCGCGUCGCUCAGAAUCUGAAAUUCGUCAAGUCGAAUGGUAUAUCUUACAUAAUCGUCCCGCGGAAAUUAUGGCCCGGCCCAGGAUGCGUACUAUAACGUUCCCUGCUCGAAACGAUCCGCACACGCAAAUGGAAUUCUCUGAUUGACCGGACGUUCGUUUAGAGCGUUGAGUCGGCAGACCGUCAUACAACUCAACAUGUCGUAAUAACGUUACAACGGAUUAACGAGCCGUUUACGCACUCAGAAUACUCGCACACUGUCGGUUUCGAAUCCGACGUCCGUAGUGCGCGAUAAUAAGGGGCCCAAACGACAAUGUCCAGAUCGGGGCCCUUAUCGGCAAAUAAAAAUGAAUAACAGUCCGUACCUUUUGUCAUAACUCUGAAAAACUAUUGUUUUCUCACGUGCUAUAGCUAAUAAUCGUUAGUAAUAUACAUAUAUCUGUAAAAUCAAACGUCAAAAUUAACUCUUGUUGUUUUCACGGCGGCACAGUCAUUGUAAUUUGUUCGUUUUACAUAAUCCCCAUUCAACUGUCAUUUCUUUUCUAAUGGCCAAUAUACUGAUGUAGGAUAGGCGAUCUUGUCCAAUCGAGUCCCGGCGGUACAGUCCUUAAUCGGUUUUAAUUUUGAGAAAGAUCACGCUGCCGAAGCUACUGCUGUUAAGGUUAAAUAUAAAUAAGACCAUGCACUGAUACAUCAGCGUAUGUAGUGCCAAAAUCAUUUUCUAAAAUAAAUACCCACGCCGAGACGCGUAUGGUCACGACUUACAUACUCACUAACGUAAUUAUGUAUAAUAGUAUAAAAUGUUUCAGUUGUAUAGUCGACUGUACUCCAUACCCGCGUACUUAUAUACAGUAUACGACUACACACGGUACACACGUUUCUCACAUAGGUACCGGAAAAUUCGAAUUCUCUACACUCAUGGGUGUAAAUACAUUAAUAUGUAUUAUUAUUAUUUAUUGUUAUGAUAUUUAAACAAACAAUAUAAUAUGUGUAGGGGAGAGGGGGGCACAUUGAGACACGGGGCGCAGUGAGACAGUGUGAAUCGAUAGCGGAGAAAUAAAAUCUAGCGGUUCAUAACCGAUACGCAACGAUACGUAAUGUUAAAUGUAACGUUUCCAUACCGUAGCGGUUUUAUACUGAAUCAUGUUUGUCAACAUUUCCCGUAAUUUUUUUAUUAAAAAAAAAAAAAACAAUUAUAAGAUAUGACUAUAAGAAGGAAAGUACGAUUAUCAUAAUUGAUAUCUCGGCCCCCCCCCAAAAAAAACCGGGGGCUUCUGUGAAUUGCACAACCAACACUCCCGACAAUUGCGCCAUUAGACGUGUGACGUUCGUCACGUUCGUAUUGUCGGGUGCCAUCUUAAAAUCGCGAAAAAUAAGUAAAUGCGAGAAUCGAAACUGCGAAAUAUUUUAUCAGCGAAAAAAAAAAAAUUUUUUUCUCGUUGAUAUGAUACACAACGAUAACGCCGAAAAAAAUAAUAUAGCCUGCGGAAAUUAUAAUCGAAUAAACUGAUUGGUUUAACAUUAAAAAAUUAUCAUAUAGUCCGGGGUAUUACGAAAUACAAAUUGAAUUUGACGAAAAUGUCCGUAGUCCGCGACAAUAUUUAAACACGAUAAAAUAAAACAUACUAUAGGCGAUUACCCCUUUGGUAAUUCUGGUUUGUCAUGGUCAUCGUUGUCAACCACUAAUUCAACUAAUACGGCACUGGUACAACAACAACGGGCGAAUUACCGCGGCUUAUCUUUUAUCAAACGACAUUUAUCUAGAGACCCGUAGGGUACUGCCGAUUUCGAUAGCAGCGGGAUGUCAUCAAAACCCAAUUUCGGAAGUUCGGUUACGCCAACCUCGGAAAUAUAAAUUUUCUGCGCGUGAAAUGAAAUCCUGCCCGGCGUGGUUUUGCACAACGAAUCGGGUUUUACUUCCGAUCAAUGUCCUCUGUCCGUUGAUUUUGCUAUACGCUCCGUUUAGGGGCCGAAGUCUCCGGACGAAGCAAUUUAACAAUUUAAUGUCGAAGUAUUAAUGUAGUGUUUAAAAAAAAACGUGUAUGGAUAUAAUUACAUUUACGGGCAGUUAUCAUUUAUCCGGAGUAUCCGGGAUUUUGUAUACAUUUUGUAGGUUAGCAUAAUAUUUAUUUUGUUAUUAUCAGGUUCACUGUUAUCGAUAUUGUUAUCAAAAUCGGGAAUACUGUAUACCCGUCCCAUUUAUCUCCUUACUGUAUACAAGACACACUUUCAAUAUGGUUUAGAGAAGAAUUUCUUAAUUUUCGUCAUUUCCGUUUCGCCGGUAAAACAUUUCGCUACUUUUUUUGCGAUUUUCAUAUAGACUCCCAUAUAGUUUAGAGCAAAUUGUAGCGUUUUUACCAUUUUUUUUUUUUCUUUACCCGUCGUGGUUGUUCAUCGACUAGGUUUUAGGUGUACACAUAUAGGACACUGUUAUUCUCGGAACAACAGGUAGGUUGAAUUUUUCUCCUGCGCUUUAUCUAAACCGGUGGCGGCUUUUCGUUGACUAAUAGGUUUACACUUAGAGAACACCGACUUUUCGUGAAACACUAUCGGGAAACAGUGAAACACACUUAACGGUUUAUCAUUUUUUUUUUUCUCUUGUUCUCAUAUUGAAAUAAUGGUUUCAUAUUGAUUUAACCAUAUAUUUAUGUAUGGUUUUAUAUAUCGUAUUGACACGGUCGGCGAUGUAUAUUGUAACAAGCACCCAAAGUGCCGAUCAGAGAAUUUAAUUUUCGUCUGUGCGUGGCUCGUUUCAAGUAGGGGACGUUGGCAUCCGAGAUAAUAUUACAUGGAUAAUUUCUAUAUUUCCAGAAACGAAACUAUGUAAAUGGGUACUGUAUUUGCUUUUUUCUUUCUUUUUUUUUUUUUUUGCACCGUGAACGAGAACACGCAUUUGUUAGCGCCGAAACGGUAAUAUCGGGUAGAUGGCGGCGAAAUUCGUUUUUCCCGGCUGGGGGAAACCGAACGUUUCGGAGCACACUGCGCGUUUACACUGCGCACACGAGUAAAACGAGCAUUCGUGUUUUUUCGAUUUAGAAAAAAUAAAAACCGUAAUAUAAUAUUAUAAUAACACGGUAAUAGGUACCGUGCCUGCCGUAUGGAAAUAUCGCGUAUAUUUUUGUGUACGGCGACAAACUUUCGCGCGGGCAACGCACGUCACCGUUGAAACAAAAAAAAAUAAAAAAAUAAAUAAUAAUAACAAUAAAUAAAUAAAUAAACCAUAUCCGAAUUUAUGAAAAAAAAAACGCGUUUUUUUUUUUAAUAUAAUAUACCUCACCGUAGCAUAGCAGUCGGACGUGGGACCGAUAAAAUAUUAGGUAUAUGUAUAUGUAUUAUUAUUAUUUUUUUCCACAUACAUAAUAAAACGUCUCGUAUAUACGUGUGUACGCAUCGUUAUAAUAAAAAAAAUAAAAAAAUAUAGGCGCAGAAUAAAAAAAAAAAAACGAAAAAAUGUAAAUUAUGAUAAUAUUAUAUGUGUAUAACGACGACCGGUAGUAGUCCGAACCGCCGACGUCGUCGUUUGCGUGCGACUACCUAUAAUGUACUGUUGGUGUACCAUGUAAUGUAUUAUUAUAAUUUAUAAUAGCGCUUAAUUUCUCCCCUGCCCUCUCCUACCCCUAUCCCUCCCCUGCCCGAUAAUACAACUAAAUUACACUGUUGUACGAAUAACGUUGUCGGAUACCGGCAGUGUUUUUUUUUUUUAUUUAUUUUUUUUUCUUCGGAAAGACCGCGUUCAAUUUAACGGGCACGUUUAACGGGCCCGUCUGUCCGUCCGUUUAUUUAAUAUACUCGGCAAAAACAUAUUAAUGCGUGUGGAUACGCGAAUCGAAAUUAUCGAUUUUCGUUGGCCGCACAACCGCAGGUUAUCCGAAAAAUAGGCCGUUUAAAUUACACGGAGAGCCACUCUUGGCACUGUUACCGUCAAUUAUUAUUGUUCAGUUGAUCUUACGCUCUAUCACUUUAUCAGUAAUUCUUGUGAAAAUUCGAAAAUGCUUAACUGUACCCAUACACAUUCUUUCACUAUCGAUCACAAUGCCUACCGUGCGUUAUAAUAUCUUGAACCAAAUUGAUUUUAAGAUUUUUAAAAGUAACUUUCUGAUUUUACUAGUAAGUUUUUACUCGUAGGAACUUUGUAACUUAACUGGUUACAUCGAAUGUGUAAAAUAAUCUAAUCUAACUCGUUGAAAACAAUGAGAAAGUAGUUAUAUUUUUUAUUUUUUUUUUUUCACUUCAAAAAUAUAAAUAUCCCGUAAAACUGCCGAGCGCCGACUAUUAUACAUCAUGGUGUCUAUAGCCGUGAUAAUAAUUAAUUAAUCAAUAACGAAUAUUGAGUAUUUACAAUUUUAUGAUAAAAUCAUUUUCCUUUUAAUAUUAUUUCUUAUCAAUUUUUUGAUAUUAGAUAUUUUUCUUCUGAGUUAAGCAUAUAAAAAACAACUGCAUAGAAUCCGUGUAUUCCUAAAUCCAGCAGAUCGGUCGGCCGCUAGAUUCAACUGUUCCUAAACUCAGCUGCUGAUCAAUCCGCUGGAGGGGCAGUGAUCAAUCGGAUUGCUUUAUUAGCACUCUGAUAUUUUGUAGAUGAAAUAGUGUUCAAUCCGACGGAUGUGAUAAACACGACAUAAUUAAAAUUAAUUUACUAACCUAUAUUUGACGAAAUUGAGGAUUUUUGCCAAGGAGGGAGAUAUUGAAUUUGAAAAUCGCGUCAUACUGUACAACGUGUUCCCGUACAAAAAAAAAAAAAAAAGGAUCAAUUAUUGAUUUAUAUUUUUUUUGUAAGUAACGUACAAUUCUUGGUAUAACUAAAUAAGUAAUCGUUAUAUUAAUUGAUUUACGAUCUAUAGGUACUUAUCUUAUCCCUUUUCGUAUUUUAGUGGUUUGAAUUUAUAUACAGGUUUCGUUUUAAAGGAGAAAACUGUAUACGUUUAGAUUUUCUGAUAAAUCAACAUUAUUAACUGUGAUAAUAGGCAUUGAUACCGACACAUCAAAUUUUCGAUUUCUCCGACUGAAAAGUAAAGGCAUUUGAAUUGAGAACUAGGUAACCGUGUAAAUAUAAUAGGUUAAAGGGCGGUAAUGGGGGGGGGGGUUUAUCUCCUUAAUCUCCCCCCCCCUUCACGUAAAUACGCCACCGGAGACGACCGUACGAAAGCCGUUCGGUCGUUUUCGUUGUUCGCGUUCAACCGUAUCAACAAUAUUAAUACCGCACUCGGUUGUUUAUGUUUUUUCUCUUUCGAUUAUAUCCAUCGCCAUCAGAUUUUCAGUCCGUUCAAUCAACCGGCCGCGUUCUCCGUACGGCAGUUGAGAUCGAACCGGUCGGAGCAGGAAAAAUCUAAAACCCGGUGGUGAUGUUUCCGGGUUACUUACAUGCAUAGCGAGUAAACGGACACGGCGCGCGCGGUCGCGACCGCGCGUCUCGUUGAGAUGCCAGUGCGCGAGCGAGUGAAAAACCCGGAUUUUCAAUCGCCCGACCGAUCGACCGAAUUUAACCUAACCUGACCGCCUAACCAACCGGCCCUGGUCGAAACAGUCAGUAACGGUCACCGCGCCUACGCGUGCCCGCGCGGUAACGAACACGCGCGGUGUACGGGCGAUAAUAACGUUACGUACGGCCGCGCUCGGGCCCGACAAUACGGUAUUGUUAUACGAAUUUCGAUGGUUUUUUUCUACUUUUUCGUUUUAGCGCCCGUACACACAGCGUUAUAAUAAUAACAGCAACAACAACACGAUCGUCUGCCCGCUUCUCCCGCCGCCCCGCCGUAUAUUCUGUACGUAAUAAUACUACGUGUGUAUAAUGCGAUGUACUCGGCACGAGAUCGUAUCUGCGUCACGUCAUUGUGAUAUUAUUACCGUGUACCGGGCCCCGUACGCCGGCGUAAUAUAAUUUUCGGACGACCCCCGGGGAUCGUAUUUUACGCGGUCGCAUUGUCCGCGCGCGCGCUCCCGGGAAUCGCCAUUACCGUUAUUAACCGCGCGGCGGGUUUUUAAUUAACGCGACGCGGCACAAUAUCGCGGCGUAAUCCGAUGUUAUUCCCGACGAUCGGCGAAAGCGAACGGUUCUCGAACGCGAAAUCCGCGCGGCGCGUAAAAACACGAGCGGCAGAAGGAGCCGUACCGGCGUUCUGCAACGGCAUAACGGAAAGGAACCGAACGGAAAAGAGUCUCGUCGGACCGAGGGUGGAUGGUAGUUCGCGAGAUACGGACAGACGGUGGGGUCGGGGGNNNNNNNNNNNNNNNNNNNNNNNNNNNNNNNNNNNNNNNNNNNNNNNNNNNNNNNNNNNNNNNNNNNNNNNNNNNNNNNNNNNNNNNNNNNNNNNNNNNNNNNNNNNNNNNNNNNNNNNNNNUUUUUUUUUUUUUUUUUUUGAUUUUUUCAUCAUGAACCGGCCAUCAUCUCGUUGGAUUUUAAUAGCGAAUUUUAUUUCUGUUAUUCUGAUCAUUAUCGGAUCGGUCAAGCUUUAUUCCGAAACCGUUUUCAGUUUUUACUCCUACCCCGAAUACCUUAAAUAAGCACACACACUUUUGAUUUUCGGACCGGAACACCCCUUUCGACGGUUCGUGAUCAAAAAAUCACACUGUAUACGCAUUUUGGCCGAGUUUCUUACGUCAGCGAGCCUUUAAGGGUGGAUAUUAUAACCGCAUAUUUACCACGGUAAAAACAGGAAAUUCGGACAAAAAAAUGGUUGGGGAAGGGGUUGAAAUCUGAAACCCCAACAGCCGCGUUUUAGAUACUCACACGGUGGACAUAUACGAAAUUGCAUUCACAUGGCUUCAUUUGGGAGGUGUGUAGAGAUGCGUAAAACGAACAGAACCACCCUCCGCUUCUCCUUUCCCCGCUAUCGUUCGAACAUCGAAAAACGAUCUCUUAAAGUAUACACUGCAUCAUAUAAUACGUCCGGCACUACACAAGAAAGCUCCCGCCGGCAGAGUUUUCGAUCGGUGCGUGUUCUCCGGGGGUCGAAAAUUUGUUUACAUACUUCGGAUGGCCGACAGAAAUAUGCCCUAAAAAUAUGCUCUACAAUUAGUUUUGAAUCGAUCAAGUAUUAAGUAUAAAUCACGAAUGAUGACUCAAAUAAAACCAAAGUAGUUCACAGGCACGAUAGAAUGUAUCGUGUAGACAAGACGCUUUGCGAUAUUGUUAUACGGUAAUCUAAUCUUACCGAUGACGCUUUCCUCACAACUAAUUCCCGUCAUAUUACUACAAACUAUUUCCUCCUUCAGUCGGGCUGGUUUUCUUUUCGUUUAUAAUGUGUUAUAAUUCGUUUGAGAUUCUGAACGGGGCGAGGAAUGUAUCGGUUUUGCAAUGAUGUUUUUGUUUUUUUUUUUUCCGUGGACAACUUUUCUAAUAGAAAUUUUGCUCCGAUUCAAAAUAUUAGCACUUUUUCUAAAAGAAAAUCUGAUUGGGGAAGAACAUUAGGAAAGUCAUUUUUUUGAUUUUCCUAGGAAUUUUCUCGAUAAAUGGGAAAAACGGGAAAACAGGUACAAUAUAUUGUAAACAAAUAUUAUUAAAGAAAAUAUAUAACGUAUAUGUAAUUAUUUUUUCAUAAUAUGACAUGGAUAUUGUUGACAAAGCAACACUAUCGGCCGAACUCCGCUCAAAAUCGUUUUUUCGUUAGCAGUGGUUAAUCGUUGCUUACGGAUAUUAUUCGUUAAAUUACCUAUGACAGUGACUGCUCCCGUCCCCAUUUCCCUAGGACAGUUUUUUUCAUUUAUUUUUCUUUUGUUGUUUUACCGAAUCGUAAUCGUUAUGGAAUCAAUAAUUUUAAUUCACCGAUUGAUCAUUAAUUUGUAUGGCCAACAGUUUGUCCUUUCUUUUACAAAGCUUUAAAUAAAAAAAAAAAAAAAAACCUCGACGACGUAUUAAUAACAACGGAAUAACUCAUAGCGACUAAUUUCAGUGAAACAAAUUAUAGUAAUAUUUUAUUUGAAACACGGGUGUACCCGUGUAUGUUAUGGUAUAUUAUCAGCUUGUCUGCUGAAUGCUGACGUUUAUGAUUCUUCAAACAUUUUUUCGCGAUUCUCGAUUCGGCGAGAAGUUGUAAACGACGUCUAAAAAAUGUACGAAAUCCUACAGAGAUACGCUCUAAAAGUGCACGAAAUUCUAAAACGCCGAAAUACGGAAAAUACGAUUUCGCGCGUGUAUGUACACAACCGUUAGGUCGUGGCACGAGUUUUGGUAUGUAAAAUAUAGCUAUUUUUUUUUUUUCUUUAACCGACCGAUAAAAAUACGCAAAUGUAUACAGAUUCUGUCCCUCCCUCCCGUUCAAAACAAUACAAUAUUAUACGUACGCGAGACAAGCGUCGUCGUCGUCGUCGUCGUAACCGCACCGUUCCGGGUCGGCAUACAAUUUCCGCGAGUUUCGAUCGAACGGUUCUCGGUUUAUACCUGCGCCGUCCGCGUUAUUUAUGCCGCAGGGGUGCGGAUAACGACCGUCAACAACGUUACAAGAGCGGCGGUCACAGAAUAAUAGUAAUAACAAUAAGGCGUGUAUGAAAUUAACGCGGUGAAUAACGUGAAAAUUACGUUCGAGUGUACACGCCUUCCCGGCGGCGGCGGCGGCGGCGGCGGCGGCGGCGAGGGGCGUGCGACAACAAUUAUAAUAUUACGUCUCCCCCGAGGACCCCGUCGACGGAACGAAAACGGCCGCGCGACGACGUCGCACAAGUGCGCGGCGGACGGAGUAAUUAUUUUAUCGAUUCCGUCGGUACACGAUAUUAUUAUAAUUAACGUACGCCGCAGGGUUCGGAGGACCGAGCGCGCGGGCGGGUCAGACGCGAAGCUCGCGGGACGGCGAACCUCGGGUUAAACGGCGGGAAAUUAGUCUGUCGUUUCGGUCGCUAUACGCGUCCGCGCGCUGCCCCGGUCCGACCGACGCGAUUAUCCGAGAACCGUCGCCGGAUUUCGGUUUUUUAGUGUACAAAAAUCGCCAAUGUUCCGUAGUACGUCGAAAGACGACGACGUUCCGACGGUAAACGAGUGGACGCGUUCCUCCCCAUUGUUCCGACAUUGUAUCAUUCCGCGGACACGACUGCGCUCGAUGCGUCGCGCGUCGUUCGGCGAUAAAAACUCGUUCGUCGUUUUUGAACAACUGUAACGUUUCAAAAAAAAAAAUGAAUUUGAAACAAAAAACCGCAUCGUCUCCGGAGCGUUAUCCUCUUUCGAUUUUAUAACAGGUGCUUUUUACCGUAAAAAACCCGAAAUCAAGCCAGUUCUACUUUAGAUUUUGUUUUUUCGCCCGUUAGUUGGACCGAGACGGCGCGUAUAGCGGGUAUAUAGCGUCCUCUCAAAGGCCCGUAAUUUAAAAAAAAAAACACGUUGACGCAGCGUACAGAUGCCGAGGCGUUUAGCGAUAGAAAUUUACGCGCCGCGCCUAGAUAUUUAUACAUGAUCUUUAGGAGACGCGUGCGUGUUGUAUGGCCUGUCGGAACAAUGCCUGCGGGGGAGAACCGCUUUUUUGGUUUCCAAACGCGCGUCUUUCGAAUGUCCUGUUAGAUCCGCGUUGGGUGGCUCCAAACAUUUGUCGAAAUCUUUGUUGAAAAGUUUUCGACUUCUCGGUGCUCUCCUUAAUUCGUAUACAGUACUGUUCCGAGCCGACGGGUCCGGGUCGCUACAGUGUGUGUAGAGGCGAUAGAAAUAUAUACGCCUCCCUUUCUCCCCGACGGAAACGAGGAAAAAAACGCUUACGGACGUUGGAGACUUGGCCGCGGGCACGGAAAAAAAAAAGAAAAAAAAGAGUCCGAUUUAAUUGUGUUCGGAAAAAUGUCAACCAUUUGCGUCGGUCGGAUUUUCCGUUUUGAACGCAAAAACCAGGAAAAAUACUCCCGCCGACCGUAUUAGUUUAUACUGCGGUCGGAGCGACCGACGCAUAUACGAAUCGAUUAUUUUUAAUUUUUUUUUUUUUUUACGAAUUCCGCGGCUCGUCUAGGUUUUAACGGAAGACAAGCCAAACCGGUAAUAUACGUUAUUAUAAUGGCGUGUGUCCGUACUACACGAGGGCAGGUUUCGGGAUAGGCGUACGAGUAGACCCGAUAAUCGAUUACAAUAUUAUUUUAGUAGGUAUAACGAGAGAGACGAAGAGAAAUAAAAAAAAACGUUUUCGUGGACGCGGCGAGAUACCGAUGGACGGCGUCGGCUCGGUUAAUACGACCGAUUAAUAAAACGGCCCGAAAACCGGUCAACUCGCUCGUCUCGUAUACACGAAAUCGCCGCGUGGUAUUUAUUUUUUUUUAAUUAUAUUUUUUUACCCCUCGCGUUCCUCGGCGGCAAUAAUAAUUUCGUCGUCGUAUAUUUAAAUCCGGCGGCGGACAACACGUGAGAAAAACGCACUCGGUCGUCGUCGCUUUUCGAACUAAUCGGAAACUAUAUUAAUGUAACAUAGGUAAAAAUACGGCCGGAAAACAAACGGCCGUAUUAAUAUUGUUAAUAGAGAACGUCGCACGGCGGUCGAAAAUACGAUUUCACGUGGACUAACAGAAUUUCUACGGUGAUAAAAAACUGUUUGACGUAAAAAUAACCACAACACAAAUAACCAGCGUGGCUUCGGCAUUUUAAUAAUUUAUUUUUAUUCGCAGUUCUUUGCCGGCGGUUCUGAAUUUCUGGUUCUGCCACAGCUGGCAAAGUUAUAAACGGCGAUAUCUGUUCGAUAUGAGUUUUCGAUACUCGAAAUGCGUCGAAAACGGGAGAGACGCGGAUAAUUUUUGAAAAAUGUAUUGCAAACGAUCUACGAAACUAUUAGCCAAGGUUUCUUCAGGAGGACGGGUGGGUAGAGUUUUGGGAAAAAAGAUGGUCGUCACAAGUAUAACGCUGACUUAUGUUUAGACGAGCCAAUUACAUAGAUAAUUGAUCGACGAAAUAUUAUUGAUAUUAAUAACAAACAAAUUAUACAGUUUUUAAUAGCGGAUCCACUCUUCUUGGCUUCAGAGCCAUUCCGUUCAGUGCUCAUUAGCACUCAUCAAUUAUCAUCUCGACGGGCUGCCAGCGUAACUAAUUAAUUCAAUCGAUUCUAAUGAACAAAAUAUUUAGUAUCUAAUUAGGCGCUCGAUACGUUUGUGGCAGUAUCCUAAUUUUCAAUCGUGAAUACGGCAUCGUAUCCCGCGAGUCCUUUAAAGCAGAGAACGUAUGCGUUCAGGCGUAACAGUCGAUACGGGUAACGUACGUAAUAUCGAAAUUUUUAUGAAAACCAAACGAGGGGAGAUUCGACAACCGGAUUUCCUUCCUCCCGUGAUUACGCCGCUGUAUCCGAUGCGAAAACCACGGCGCUACACACAAAACGGACUCCCGAAACCCCCGAAACGAAUUAACGGAAUUUACGGAGCGAAUUCGUAGAAAAGACUCGGCGGUCUGGUAAUGUUGACAACUCGUUACAUUUUUUGAACGAAGAGAUCAUCGACGAACUCACUGAGAAGCGCAGGAAUUCGGAAAUAAUAUUGCACCUAAUAUUUAUACAAUUGAAAAAUCGAUUACGAAUUUGUUAAGCUUUUAUAUUCAUUUUUUAAUUUUCAUAUUGUGUAAUGUAUAGAACAGUUAUAAUUUAUAAUACAGGUGCAUUGAUUUAAUAAAAUAUGUAAUUAUGUUGGCACGUGUUGAGAUUUUAAGUGUAAAUAUGAAGGAGGGAGGUAAAGUUCCCCCCCCCCACAAGUUUGUUGUAAAUAUUUAGUGUGACGUCCUCCACCGUGAAACAUUCUCAAUCGCGCCCCGGAAAGUUUCGUCGGUUCCGGGCUUUUACACGAAACAGCGUAUAGACGCCAACUAUAACUAUUGCCCUUUACCGCCUUAAGCUAAACGACCACGGAUCGCCGAAUCCGAUAGAACUUAGUGUACACUCUGUGCGCUUCUAGGUAUAACGUCUUGAUAUCAAAUGACCGCGUGUUACUGUGAGUACACGGGUGUCAAUCGUCGCGUAAGAGUACGUGAACUCUUAUAAAUUGUGUAAAACAUAACCGGAUAAAACGUAAUAAAACGUAAACGGCGAGUCUACCGAAAUAUAACAAAAUAUUUUGUUAGGCUCUCGCGGAACCCGUUCUCCGGGUAUCCGGGAGUGGAUUUUUUUUAUUUUUAAAUAUAAUUUUCAAACGGCGGGGCCGAGGCCACUGUCAUAGCGUACGUCCAGAAUUCAUUCGGUUCGUGCGGGGAAAUGACCACUCGACUUUAAAGCUGUAUGGGUACAUUACGCCCUAAUGGAAUAUUAAUGAGACGUCCGGCGAUAACAUAAUAUGUUAUACGCGUCGUCGCCGGGAGUACAUUUUUGUGUUGUUAGGAGAGGAUUCGAUUGUAAUAUCCGAAACCUCUAGCGACACGGCGGUGUUGAUCGGCCGCCCGGGAGAUCACUCAGCCGGCUCGUAGCGGGACCGAAGUAGAAUUGAGAAAAAAAAAAAAAACCAUACACAUGUAUUAUUAUGUACAAUAAUGGACUCCACGAGGUGUGUGGUUAUCGACUUGACAAGACACCGGUCGGUGAAAAAACAUAACCGGCCGGCCGGCCGACGAAAACAAAAUCAUUACCAUAUUAUAAUAACGUUACCGCGAUUUCGACAUUUCGAUAUAAUUUCUCCCGAAUCACGGUUAGUUUUGAAUAUUCAAUUUCAAUACUUUACAACGCUGUUUUUGCGUCACCAUUUUCAUUUCGAACUAACGGCGUCGUGCAGCUGUAGCUUUAGUUUCCGUCAAAUAUGGUUCGGCAACCGUGUACCUGUUUAUGCGCAAUCGAACAAUGAUAAUUAAUAAUAAGUCGAAUAAUACAAUUGAAUUGUAGGAUUUUUAAAAAAAAAAAAUCACCGCUAAAAAUUAAAAUAUAACGUAAUUAAAAGAAACAGUCCCGACCAAAAGUGCUCCUGUACAAAUUGCGUUGGACGUUUGUUUCCGUAGUUUCAGUUCCGAUACUUCGGACCGGUGCGAAAACGUUAACGCAAGCGUGCGAUUUGACCGGACAUCGUUUUUACGCCCGAACGUCAAUAAAGACCUAAUUCUCGCGUUUUUCGGUACCGACUCCGGAUUACCUGUCGUCGCACACACACGUACGGCCCGUCGGUUGUCCGACGCUGUUUAUAUUUUCGUUCGUCUGUCGCUGUGCGCGCGCGUAUAUAUCAAAACCGUCGGUUCCCGAACUAUAUUCGGGCGGAAAAGCGCUGUGCCGGAAACGGCCGAUAUUAUUUCGGCGGAAACGGGUGUCGCCACUCCGCUCAAUCCCCCUGGCGUAGAUAUGCUUACGCGAAUCGUCUUAAUCAUAAAUUACGUCCGUUGACUUUUUACGAUAUCUAGAUAACCGAACGUUGUUUAUUUUAUUUUAUUAUUAUUAUUUUUUUCCUUCUAUCUCCAGUCGUUGUAUAUUUUAUCUUUUACGUAGAUAAACAAACGUCGGUCGUCUUUUCCGACACUGGCCGCGGUACGUCGAGCACACCGCAGUUACCGUGGUGCAGUUGCAGUUCAGAGACAGACAGAGAUAGAACACGCACAGAUUUUUUUUUUUUUUUUUUGUUAUUUUCGUUUUAAUAUCCCCGACACGGCGACGGCGUUUGGAACGCAUUGUUAUUGUGUUGUUGUUGAAUCUGUUCUGAUGGACAUGUGUUACGACCGUUGUCUAAUAUUACUAUACACAAAAAACGGCCGCGUUCACGAUAUUAUAAUAUUAUCGCAGCACGGUCGCCAUGUGGACGCGCGCGCACGGGCAAAAUGUUCGACACGUUGACGGGCGCGCACUCGGUGGCCAACAAACGAAAAUGUACGAACGCAACGAAGUCGGGUUUUUUACGGCCGACACGUGCGUGUCUCGUACAAACAUUAUAAUAUUUUCAAAACGAUUUCUUUAAUAUUAUAUAAAUCGUAUUUUCUCAUGCGAAAUACUAUUAUUGUUGGCCGGCCGCGCCAUUACGGCCGCGGCAACGUUCGCAAUAACAUAACGAUAGUACGGCACUGAAAACGCGGCAUUAUACGACCGACUCUCACGUAUGGUCGUCGCGAGACUUGUACGACCGAACGGAGACCGAGGGGGGGGGGGGAGUUCGAGAAUAUUCGAGAAUAAAAUCCGGAGGGAAUUAUGUGGAUCCGUCGUCGAUGAAACAACGGGGUACAACGGGAAGAAGGUACAAUAGAGAGUCGUGCGAUACGACGGAAUUAUCACCGAUAAAGUGCUAUGAUAAAGGCCAAAGGAUUCGGUUGUUAAGUAACAUAACGAGAAGUGGUGAAUAUGAGACGUUUAAGGCGCCUAUGAAGUGGAAACCUUAAGAAGACCUAGAGAAAGACCCAUACAAAUGUGGCCCUUACGAUCGUAAGGGCCCUUUAGACAAUUUAAUCCUAAACUCUUAAUCCGGUCCUGUCGGUAGGUCGUUUUUACGAAAAUCUUUGAACUGAUUUGAUAAUAGAGAAAAAUUGAUGACAAACGUUAUGACGAUACGCGCGAGUUUCGGACACCGGUGUAACUGUUUGCGCAUUUCACAUUCAAAACGAGUCGAAGGUCGCUGCAGUUUACUUUUUAUCGUAAAAUUUAACGUCUAAAAGAUGGCUCGCAUUUGAUUUUGGAUAUUCUAAUGUAUUUGUCAUUACGAAUCCUAUUUUUUAUUAAUAUUAUUAUUAUCGAUUUCUGAGUUACCUCGGCGAUAAAGAUGAAAAAAAAAAAAAACAGUUAUUAUUAUUUAAAUGUGUUGUUCCCGGGCGAGGAAGCGCGAUUCGUAAAAGAUGGAUUACCGGGGCGACAGCGAUUAAACUGCGAUAGGGACAAGAUUGGAAUCGGGGUGGCGCGUCAAACAGACAUCGCUUUCUUCCGGACGAGCCAGGGGGAAAUACCGGGUGAUAAUCGUUCGGCGGUCGGCGCUACAGUCACUGCUCGUGUUCGCCGACGAAAACGGUGGUCGAUAUGACUAAAAAAAAAAAAAAACAAAAAUAAUAAAAACCCGACAGCGGUAUGGCAUUACAGUUAGCGGGUUACGGGUUACCCGACGAAUCGAAAACGCGAAAAACGACGCGUACGCUCGCCAUUGUUUUUAUCGCUGUUACCGCGCGACUUACCGUUAUAACGUUUGUAAUAUUACAGCGCGCGCGUGAUAUCACCGCGCGCGCGCCUAUUGCGCGCCCGCGCGCGUGUAUCGUACGAAACGUGCGGGGUGUACGGCGCGGGGCACCGUGUCGCGUCCGGGAAUCCGAAUAACGAACAACAAUAACAUACGUGUGUGUGCGCGCGCGUGUGUGCGUAUUACACAGACAGUAGGCAGGCGCGCGCGUACAACAACAAUAAUAACGAUGAUAAUAAUGAUGAUAAUAAUAAUAAUAUAAUACGUACAGUAUCCAAAGACCGUGUGUAUUACGGGCGAACGGGGGAAAACGAGAGGAAAAAAUAAAAAAAAAGGGGAAGCGGCGGGGGGGCGGCCGGAGAGAAUGAAACGUACUCGUGUGCGCAGUGUAUACGCGCGCGCGCGCGCGUUAAUAUUGUAAUAAUUAUUUUAUACGCCGCGUUCAUUAACGCUCUCCCGCUCCGUAAUGCAUAAUUAUACGGCGUACAGGUACACGUGUGCCUACGUUGCGUAUACACGUAAACACACGAUACCGUACUCGCAAUGUAAUGCGGUACGCGUCGGGCGCGUAGUCGACCGAGCUGGUUUUAAUUAAAAGUAAAAAAAAAAAAAAUAAAUAAAAAAAUAAAAUAAACGUAAGUACACGCGCACGCGCGCGCGCGCGCCGUUCUUAAUCAACUCGCCCGUACACGCAAAACGCGCGGACCGUAAUAAUUACUUUACAAUUCGUAUGUGUUGUUGUGCGCCGAUGUAAUAAUCGUAAUAAUGAAAUGUAUACGGAGCGCGCGCGUACACGAUCCGUUUUAAUUAUUGUGCGCGGCGCGUCGGGACGAGCCCCCGGUACGCGCGCGUUCAAUUGCCUCCGGGCCGGGGCGCGGUCCGUAUCGUCACGUACGGUAAUUCCGGCACCGCGGAAAACGGGACGGUCCCGAUUCGGUCUCUUCCUCCGGGCGGAUUCCCGCGGCGCCCGUGGAGGAUGUAUCGGCGUUACGCGCGUGCGUGUUCGCGAAACGUUUCGCGAGGUCGUGUCCGUAACCACUAACCGCGACUCGAAAAACGCCGGUGCCCGAGCACCGAAAUCGACAUUGAAACCCCGCGACAGUCGACUGCGUCGCCGUCCGUAGACGAUUCCGGUUCGAGAAAAACCGUUUGUUCCGCCCCCGCCGUACCGGGGCCGAUAAAAGCCGCGUCUUUCAAUGCGCGCGGCGCGAACGGUCCGGACCGCGUUCGCAAACGGAAAAUGCGUUUCCCGGGACGCGAAACGCCGUCGCGGCUCGGGAGAACCGUACAACGCACACGCUCGUGGAAUUCCGAACGGCCGUUCCGCGAUCCCCGGCGGACACCGGUCCGUUUCGACGCGGGACGAUACGACACACGCGCUAUCCGGUACCGUAUAGAACGCGCGACGCGUAUAUUUCAGAAGGGGAUCGCCGCGUCUCGUCGCGGAGAACGGCCGACGGCCACCCGGUAUCUGUGAAAAAAAUAAAAAAAUAUAUCGAAACUACAACAGCGUCCCGGGCAACACGGAUACGCGGUGUACAGGGCGCGUGUCCGCGGGAUUAUUGCGAUUGCGCGCAUUGGAUGUGGACGGCGGAUAGGGUGCGCGCAGCGUUCCCGAGCGCGGAACACAAGAGACGCACAGAGGUGCCCGUUGAACAGCGGCGACGCCGAAAUCGCGCGUACCCGUCUCGCCCGCCAAUGUUUUGGCUUUUUUCUACCGCGAAUCGUUUUUCGUCGGCAACCAAUGAUACGGUUCAACGCCCAUCGGUCUCGCGCAAGAACGAUUUUGAAACGUACACGCGUUAAUGUCAAUCGGCGGGUCGGACGGAAAAUCCGGGCGCGCCCGAUAAACCGCCACGGCCCAUACACGUACACGUUGUGUGAAAAUCCGGUGACGUGAAAAAUGGCGAAUGAGUCGUUUAUUCGUUAAGGCCGUCCCGACCGGCGUUACCUGCGCCGAUUUUCGUGUUUUUCUCUCAUUUCGGUGUCGACCGCGUCGGCAAGAAGAACAAUUUGCCCGCGACCACUCGGUCAACCGAUAAUAUUUGAUUUUUCAUCCGACGUUCACUAAGACGGCCCGUAAAUAAAAUAUACAAUUUUGUCUUCGAACCAAACGUACCGGUAAAACGGUUUUUGCGGUUGAUAGCGGUGCUGUCGAAGAAUUCCGUAGACGUUCUAUGCCAGAAACAUCCGCAGGCAUUCGUCCAAUAAUUUCCUAAAGUUUCAUAAUCGCAAUCGGAAGAACGGUUUACGAACGUAUAAGAGACAUGCAGACAAACAUUAAUUUUAGAUUCUGCGUGGAGUGAACGUAUUGGUUUUGCAAUGAUGUUUAUUUUUUUUUUAUUUUUUUUUCUGUGAACCCUUUUCCUACCAGAAAAUUUACUCCGAGCAUCGAGUAUAGCAACUUUUCCGAAAGGAAACGUUCUCCGGGCUGUACUUUAUAGUGGUCAUUUUUCGAAAUCUCUUUAAUAUUCGAAAUAAUGAGGAAAACCUGGUUAUUGAGGUUAAAAUAGGUUGAAGGAUUGAAAAUAAAGUUGUCACUGAUAACCGUUUUUAUUAUUUUAAAUCUUUUUUUUAAACAAUCAUCGUUGUCACGGAAACGCACAUUGCAAUCGUUUUACCGUGAUAUGACGUAUUAUAUAUUGUCGACAGAGCAACACUAUCGACUGAACUCCGUUCAGAAUCGAUUUUUCGUUAGCAAUGGUUUACCGUUGCUUACAGAUGUACAUUAAAUCCCCGUCUGUAUCCUACCUACACCCGAAUUCCCGCCUACUACACAGUGGCCCGCACACACGUGCGAAGUGUGUCCGUCCUUUUUAUGCGUACACAGAUACGUGUGUAUUCGUAUACAGAUGUGUAUUAGUUGUGAUUCUUGAUGUUUUUAACAAAACACAUUUUCGCAUCACCCCACAGAGAACUGAGUCCCGUAGUCACGGCAUUCGCCGGUAUUAUCUACGCGUGUAUCGGGAACUCGUUAAAUCCUGCAGGUACACCCUGUAUAGGUAUGCACGCGCAUUAUUAUAAUAUAAAAUAUCCGUCGUACUACGCGAGUUCGGCAGGCCGGGAAGACAACAACAAUAAUAAUAAUAAUAAUAAUAAUGUAGGUGACUGUAUUAUAAUAAAAUAAUAAUAUACUGUAAUAAUACAACGGGACGUCACGACGACGAUAAUGCCGCGGACGAAAUCUCGGAUUAUGAAACGAGAUUGCGUCGUCGUAGACGCGUAUUAUAAUAAUAAUACAAGUGUAUAAUAAAAUAUAAUAUUAUGAUUUUUUUUUUUUUUCUCAGGUUAUACGCCGCCAUAAUAAUAAUAAUAAUAAUAAUAUUUUCUCCUCCCUGUCCCCCUCUCACCGCCCCACCGCACGGGUUUUUGAUUUAUCGGACGGGCGUCGUCGCGUCUAAUAUUGUUAUAAUAAAAAUUAUACCGUCGCCUAUAACGCAAUACCACGUACCUCAGUUAUUGUAGUUUCUUAGAGGAUGACCGAAAAAUCGUUAUCCAAACGAGUUGGUCUUACCGAAUUAAACAAUAUACAGGUGACGUUCGAUUGUUAACACGGGCGCGAAAAGGGGGGGGGGGGGUUCGGCUGAAGGCUCGGUUCCCUCAGAAUUGCUAUAGCCCUCCUCCCGAAAACUAAUGAUUUCACCGCACGACACAUUAAUAAAUUAAACAAAAUAUAUACAGUGUUAAAUAUUUUAAGUUUUUAAAAUUUUUGAAAAAAAUCUAUCGCGACCAUUGUAAGAAACCGCGAUAGAAACCACUGCGGUCGUAACCGGCUAUUUCGCGACUACAGUUCGGACCACGGUUAUCAUCCGCAAGAUAAUGGCAAUAUCUCGCACACGUUUUUUUUUUUUUUUUUUACUCCGGGCUUGAAAAGGUGUCGGUAGUAGUUAUUGUAAUCAUAUCUGUAGGGCACCGUUGAAAUUCGUCAAAACCCGUCGCCCGCGGUCAUUCGGUCGGUAUGAAUAAUAAUAUGAUAUUAUAGUAUCGGAAUACAAUAUAGCAAUGAUUACAUUAUCAACUGUGUUUUCUACCGGAGAAACAAUAUUAUUUCACUCUCGCGAUUUAUUGAUACGGUUAAUACGAGCACGAAACGUAAUUUCGUAUUCGUUUGAAUUUAAAUCGGUUAACAAGCGGGGGGAAAAAAUCAACUUAGAAAAUUAGGCUCGGAAAAUCAACACGCUCUGAAAUAUCGUAUUAUUCGGCACGCGCGCGCGCCCGCGGUUCUGUAUCGAGGCGUAAGUGUUCAUCCUCCGUUUGUUCGUAUGCACUUGCCGCUUUUUCGCGCCGGGAAAAACGGAUGUAACUUUUAUGCGGCUUUACCCGCUUUGACGGCAACACGUGCGUGCAUUUUUUAUUUUUUAUUUUUUUUUUUUUUUCGUACAACUACUCGACAGUACAUCGAUUCCAACGGUCCGUGUACGUUCUCCCUUUACUAUACGCAGAGACUAUUUAAACGAAAAAAAAAUCCCUCGCGUAUGUAAUACAACAUAACACGGCCUGACUGACCGACUGAUUCAUUAUCGCCUAGCCCAAACCGCUGGACGGAUCCGGCUGAAAUACGGCGUACGGAUAGCUAUUGCGACGUAGGCGUCCGUUCGGAAUGGAUUUUUGAAAAUUCAACUUUUAAAGGGGGUCUCGGAACAUCCGGAACGAAUAUCUAAUUGUUCAUUAGUCUAUUUCUGUUUGUUCGUACGGACGAGAAUGAAAAAAUGGUGACUUUCGAAUUGCCUCCCAAACUUGAGUAAGUGAUUUUUUUUUUCACUCGAAUUUCUUCCUAUAGCAUACCUAAUAUAUAAUAUGUCAUAUUAUGGUAAAACGAUUAUAAUAAUGUGCGUUUCCGUGACAACAAUGAUUUUUUAAAAAGAAAUUAAAAUAAUAAUAACAAAGAAUAAAUAAAAAAACGGUUACCGACGAUGGCCUUAUUUUCAAUCCUUCAACCUAUUUUAGCCUAAAUAACCAGGUUCUUCUCAUUAUUUCGUAUAUUAAAGAGGAUUUUCAAAAACUGACCUCUUUAAGAUACCACCCGGAGAACAUGUCCUUUCGGAAAAAGGUGCUAUACUCGAUACUCGGAGUGAGCUUUCUGGUAGAAAAAGUGUUUGCGUGAAAAAAAAAAUUUAAAGAAACAUCUUUGUAAAACCAAUACAUUCCUCCACUCGCUUCGCCAAACUCGGAAUCUAAAACGCAGGGGAAAAGAAAAAAGGACGAUCGAACCAAGCGCCGCGCAGACGCGUUUUCGUAAAACGUUGUAACGAUAAAACGCCAUAACGCGUGAUAAUAGACGCUUAUACCCGGGACCCUAUUUACGACCCUAUUGACAUUGUGGGUCUUUGUCCAGGGCCCAUGUGGAUCCCCGUGAUGAUAUUAUGCACUACGCCGGUCGGAUCGGUUCCCGCGGUUCGCAGCGUAACACAGCCCGAACACGCGCGUUUCCAUUUCCCGGUCUUACGGGCUUAGGAUGACUGCAGUCGGCCCCAGAAGUAACGGCGGAAAACGUGCGCAAAACGAAGUCGUUUCCGGUACGUAUCUUGAAUAACAACAAUAAUAAUAAUUAAAAACAAAAAGCUGUCUUAGAAUAACGAUGGGAACGGGUGCGGAGAAGGAUAUAGGGUGUGAAACGUACAAUGAAUUAAAGCGGAAAGCGGAAAAUCGCGAAGAACGAACCUAACCUGCCAACCAACCCCAUGAGCUGUUAACGGGAAGAAGAUAUUGUUGUUUUUAUUGUCACGAUUUAAAAUUUUUAUUUUUAUCGAUUCUCAAUGUUUUGAUCGAAAUGUACAAAAUGUUAUUAAUAUUGGCGCAAGUGAUACUACUUUAUCAAACAAUAUCUUUAGCACUUUUGUCAUACGUUGGGUACGACUUUAAAUAGGCGCCUACGUCCUACUAAUUUUGGCGCAAAUAAUGCGUAAUUUUUACACGUUCCGCGCUCACGCCGUGUGGCAAUAUUAUUUCCGCGAUUACACAAUCGAAAAUCCGUCGAGUCCCGAGGACGCGUCCCGGCAAUAUCCGCCGUUUCUAUAGGAUUUAUAGGUAAGUGCACGCGGCCGGAACGACGGUGCCGACGAAUGCGUUCGCGUCGCUCUUAUACUGUGUCCGUCAAUUAUGUUAUAACUUGUCUAACUAAUCAGGGCUUAUAACUUUAAACGUUUGCAUUUUUUUUUUUUUUUUUCUCAGCGAUCUUAAAGAUACUUUCGUGAGCUAGAAUAAAUUUGUUUCGCGAAGCUAUGCGCGAAAGUUUGUGUGGCAUAUUUCGCAGUUUACGUGCCGUUUUCCCCGUUUUGUACAUGCUUAGCGCUAUUACAAUACACCGCAGGCUUCAAAGUGUAUACUUGACGACGAGAAUAAUUCGUACGGUCUAGGACAUGUCCAUUCGUUUCUAUUAGCCGGACGCUUCGACCCGUGACAGACGGUUAUCGUAUCGAUAACCGCCGCAAUCGUAUCGCGUGCAUUUGUAUUUUUAUUUUUUCAUAACACACAGUGUCUAGAUAUCCGGUAUCGUUUUUGUUAUUGUUAUUUUCUCGUUUUUAAACGCUUGUUUACAUGUUUUCGAGUGCGUAUUAUCGCGCCCAUAACAGCCAUUUUUUAGAGCUACAAGUUACGAGCCCUGACAACUGCAUGUAGAUAUGCGUCCCGGUCGAGAAAAAUACGAAUUACAUUAUCGCGGUGUCGUCUUAUGUGCGCGGUGCCGUCAAACGAUAUGGGCUAACGAAAACCACACGCUAUACACGUCCACAUCGAAUACUCGUGCGUUUUACUAUCGCCGUGUUGUGACUUAAGUCGCUCGGAAACAAGACGAAAUAUACCGCGACUGCGGUGGCGUACCAAGGAUUUCGCCGGGGAGGGAGUCGUUUCCAUCCGUCGGAAACCCCGACGUCGUAAAUCAUAAUGUCACGUCGUAAAACGCGUGUCUUUGUUGGGUGAAACAAAACAGAAAACCGUCAACUUUAAAUUUAUUUCCGUGAGCAAUUUAUUUGCCCUGCAAUCAUCAAAACACUACUACAGGUAUUGCUGCGUUAGUACCUAAUCAUUGUUAUUUAGUUUGUUUACUGUAUUGUGGUACAAUAUUUGAUAUCCUCCGUGUUAAAGCGGUUCGGAUGGAUUUCGUUUUAAACGAGGGAAUGUCGGCAUACAUGGUGUUUUUAAUAACUAAAACCAUACGAUUGGAUAUCAAUUACACGCUUUUGAUUCUUUCCGAUUGAAAAGUAAAGGAAAUUGACUUUAAAAAUAUAUAUUUUCGGAUAAAAUGACAAAGGGGGGAGAUAUUUCUCCCUAGCCUUCUUCCUCAAACACGCCACUGUAUACUUAUAAUAUUAUAGCUGGCUAGGUCGAAAGCGGGUAGGAAAAAAACGGGGGUUUUUUUUUUUUUCAAAAACCAAAGAGUUACGCACGAUAACAUUCGAAAAAACAUUAUUUUAGAGAUCGUCGAAAGUGUAAAAAGCGAUUACGAUGAUAUGAGCAGGACAUCGGGUGUAAAGAGAAGCCCAAACCUACUGCGACUAAACGGGCGGUGCUGAAACAGAGUUCAGUGCGAAAAGGGCCUUUAGGAACGCGGGAAUAGUGAAUAAGCGGACGCUUUAAAGGGUGGCGGAUCGAAUUAGGUUUUCGUGGGCGAUUUUGGCAAACGUUAAAUUCAAGUAAUAACAACAAUGACAAUGAUUUCAAAGAAUAAAGAAAUGCAGCGUGUAGGUUAAAAAGUGAAUUCCGCGGAUUACAUUAUUACGUGGCGAGUCGUGGGAACCGCUCUCGUUUUCGGUUGAAAACUCCGGACGAUGCGUUUUUGUUUUUUUUAUUAUUAUUUUGCUAACCUUCCGAUUUCGCGUUGCAAUAAUACUACACGCCGACGAGACGCCGCGCGAUUUCAUCACGCAUUAAUAUUAUACCACGAUAUCGUUUUAUACGCGUGUAGACAAUAAACGAACAGUGAGGACACAUACCCACGCUAACCGCAAGAGAUGCUGGAUUAGGUUAGGUCAGUAAUGGCGGCCGACUGAGCCCGAUUUAUAAUCGACAAUGGUUAUGAUAAAACCGAUUGUUGAACGUGCGCGUUCCUAGCUUGUCCGCGAUUAAUAUACACGCUUUCGCGAAAUCGUACAGAAAUAGAUUAAUCUGUUCUGGUGGCAAAGUCCGUGGUGUUCCGACAACGGUCGUUUAUUGCGAGCUGUUAUCGUCGAAUUUCGAUUCCGAAAUAACGAAACACACGGCGUUCGCGGAGAGGGGAACGAAAAUCGCCCCAGUCUCUCUCGUCUUUCGUGAACCGAAAUAUCGUUACGCCGCGUCCUAGAGUUCGUCUACGGUUAUACGACGGACUAUUUCUAAUACCAUCGGUUUUAUAUAUCCCGUUACCGUUCUGUAAUCAAUAAUCAAGACCGGGGGCCGUUUCGGCUCGACGCCCCCGACCGUGGACGUAGGUACGCAAAUAUUAUAUCUGUGUGUCGGGUUCGGCGGCGUUAAUCCGUCACAAGGAGAAGUGGCGAGACGUGGGAUUUCGACGCGUCUUACGUUUGGCCGUUUUGUCGCGAUUUCGCUUCGUGUGUUUCGCAAAUGAAAAUAAGCCGUUUUUUUACUCGACGGUUUUUCAACAAUUUUAGAUUUCGAGCGCGGCGAAGGGAGCUAUUGAUUUUACUAAGAUGUUUAUUUCUUAUUUUUCUUCUUUUUUUUUUUUUGAUCAAGUCGUGGACACGUUUUUUUUUUUUUUUUUUUUAGUAAUUAGCUCCCGAUUUUUACGUGUAGCAAUUUUUCUGACAUUUUUUUUUUUUGAUUUUUGACGCCGUUUCCAAACAAAAGUACUUAGGUGGGAGAAAACGUAAUAAAACUUACAAUUUUACGAUUUUAUUAUUUUAUAAAAAAACACGGACGACGUUUUCUACCAGAAAAAAUGAUUUAAUCGAAAAAUCACAAGACUUCUUUUUUGUUGCCUUUUUGAUUUACUUUCUAACGGCGCCAUUGCUAAAACUUUUGAGCUUUUAAAUAAUUUUAAUUUUUGGGAGUAGUUUUUUGUUGUAACUCGGUUAUAAAUACACGUAGAGACUUGAAACUUGGUAAUAAUACUAAUAUUGGACUUACCUUAACGUGAUAAAAUUUUAAAAAUCAUCGGAUGACUCCGAUGAUUUUGAUUUUUUUUACUAAGCAUUUUGAAAUAAAAUUUUAACGAAAAUCGCAAAAGUCAUGUAUUAACAAACUACUCUCGGAAUCGUCUUUCGUCAAGCAAUGGUUAUCGUUUCAUACAGAUAUAAAUGAAAUAACCUUAUGUAUCCUACCUUUACAACUUCUCACCUAUAACAGUGGCCGCUCCCAUCUCCAGUAUCAGCUAUUUUUUUUAUUUUGAAGUCGGUUUUUUUAAAAAAAUUUUUAGUUUCAUUAUUUUGGAUUUUUAAAACAUUUUUGGGAAAUUUAUUGCGCAUUAUGAUAUUUCCGAUCCUAAUUAUAAUACAAUCCGUAUGUAUUAUUAUUCAUAACGUAUUCGGCUACAUAAAAAUUAUAUUAAAAUCGAUUUUUGAUGUAUCACGGUAAAUUAUAAUAUUGAUCUCUUCGUAUUUCUCUUCGAAUUGAUUUUCGCUAAUAAUCUGGUACAAUAAUAUAGAGAAAAAAACGCAUUAAAAGAAAAAAACCGUUCUAGGAUAACGGAGACGAGUGCAGUCACUGAUUUGUGUAAGAAGUCGGGAAAGUAGGAUAGGAUACAGAAGGGAAUUUAAUGUAUAUCUGUACGAAACGAUCAACCGUUGCUAACGAAAGCGGAUUCUGAGCGGAGUUUGGCUAACAGUGUUGCUUUUUCAACAAUAUACAUGUCAUAUUAUUGCAAAAUAAUUAAAUAGACAUUACAUAUUUUUUUCAAUAAUAUUUGUUUCAUAUUGUAACGAUUUUCCUGUUUUUCCUCCGUUUCUUCUCAUUUACUAAAAAAACUUUUGGGAACAUCAUAAAAAUGACCUGCUUAAUGUAACGCCCCGGGAAAAUUACCUUUCAGAAAACGGUCAAAUAUCGUAUACAUCGGAAUAAUCUAUCCGGUAGAAUGAGUGUUCGCAUAAAAAUACAAAUAAAACAUCUUUUUUUAAAACCAAUACAUUCUUCGCUACACUCUGAAUCUAAAAACAAAGUGUUCAAUUUAACUGAAUGUAAUAUAUCGUGUUAGUACCUAAAUAGGUACGUUCCGCACUAUUCGCGUUCACGAGCAUUUCACUGAUUCCGUUUGAAAAUAUAACACGUCCGUAUAUCGAUUUUUAAAUAACAUAAACUUUGAAAAGAAAAAAAAAAUACGUCGGAAAUACCUAUAUUAUACAGAAGGUUGUUUAUUUUAACGUGUGCGUGUGUAAAAUAUUCUUGCCAGUCGACUAUUAUAACAUGGAAAAUAUAUUUAUUUUACCGACUCGACUAAAAACUAUAAUAUAGCGUAGGUAUAACUACGCAUACAAUACCGGCUAACAGCUCUUCGUGCAAACGACGCGAAUGUUCCUCGUCGCGUUUUUUUUUUUUUUCGUUUUUAAUUCUGAAGGGGGUAAUUUAGUAAAAAAAAAAUUAAAUAACAAAAAAAAAAAAAAACAACUAAUAGGUAUCAUAGAAACCACGACGGAAAUAACCGAAACGCGUGUUAUUAUCGACGAUACGGGUUCGCGUUUGGGACUUGAUGGCGGAUAGGGCUGUUGCGGGGAACUGGAAAUUUAAGGGCACCUACACGAAAGAGCGUGUCGGAAUAAAAGUAACGAGCGAAAAAAAAAACAAAAAAAAACAACAUAUGCAAUUUCAGUCAGGGUUCAAUAAAUCUUUAGUUUUAGAUUCCGAGUAGACCGAAGAAUACAUUGGUUUUACUAAGAUGUUUAUUUUAUUUUUUUUUUUUUUAAACACUUUUUCUACCAGAAAGCUUACUCCAAUGUAUACUAUGCAAAUCCUCUUCGGAAAAUUGAUUUUCUUGGGGUGGUGCUUUGAGGAGGUUAAUUUUCGAUUUUCUCGGGAGUUUUCUCAAUAAAUUUGAAAAACCGAAAAAAAACCCGAGAAAAACGGAAACACGUACGUAAUAUAUUAGUAAAAUCUUGUGUAUUUUUUUUUCUGUGGACACGUUUUCCACCAGCAAUUUCGUUCCGAUUCACAAUGGUAGCGUUUUUUCGAAAACGAAAUUUUAUUGUGGAGAUACUUCAGGGAGGUCGUUCUUUUUUACCGAUACCCGUGCAAAAACCGAGAAAACACACGGGAAAACCGGGAAAAACGUAAGAAAUACGGGAAAAUCGGUACAAUAUUGAACAAAUAUUAUUAAAGAAAAUAUGUAAUACUUGUUCAGCUAUUUCACCAAAAUAUGACGCGUAAAUAUAUUGUCGACAAAUCAUCACCGUCAACCGGACUCGGCUCAGAAUGUUUUUAAUAAGCAACGGUUUAUCGCUGCUAACAGAUACAAAUCAACGUCCCCUCUAUAUCCUACCAUCCCGAUUUUUCACCAACAACUGUGGCUGCGCCCGUCACCAUUAUCCUAGGACAUUUUUUUUUUUUUUUUUCCACUCGUCGAUAUAGAACCGCCCGACGAUCAUAUAAAAUGCAAUACGAACGUUGCGUCGACCGUACCGAUAUUAUUCAAACGCACGGAAAUAUUAUUAUCGUAACAUACUUUUUCGUCACAGAACGCGUUUCGUACACGUUUUUAACGCUUUUUUAAUCCAUGAUGUACACGAAAUAAUACGAGUGUGUUUUCGAAACGUGAACCCGUCCGCAGCUCUAACAACGAUAAUCAUAUUUUGUGUAUUGUAUAAUCUUGUAUAUUAUAGUACAGCGACCAUUGUUGAUUUUCUGGUUUUUUUUUUUUCGCCGCGCAUUCAUUAUUUCGUUUUUUCCCCUGUCCGACGUGUUUCGGUUAUAUGCAAAUGCAUAUAGGCCCGUGUGCAGCGGCAACUAUCAUCUGCUUGAAGAAUUAUUUAUUUUUUUUUCAACCCGAAAAUCGGUUACCCCCCUUUUUUUUUUACGUUAACGACGACGACGACUACGAUGACGGCCACGACUACGACAAAGAGACGUUUAACAACACAGGGGUCGGAGUUCUUUUUUUUUACUUUUUUUUUUUUUUUUUAUUCGGUAUUAUUAAUUUUCUUUUGUUUCUUCGGCUUUUUUUUUUUUUUUUUGCGUUAUAAUUAUUAUUAUUUAUUAUUAUUUUUUUUUUCGUGUAUAUAUAUAUAAUUGCGCUCAGUGGGAAACGCUUUUAUAUGGUCUAACACCUCAAAAAAAAAAAAAAAAAAAUCCUAUUCACCCUUGUCAGUGUCAAAAGUCGUGAUAGGUUUUUUUCGGUUCCUAGACGCAUGCGGCUGCUGCCGCAGUGAAUAACGCACGCUGCACACACUAUAUACACUAAAUCACCCUUUGAAUAUUUGAAUAGUUAAAAAAAAACUUCGUCAAAGCUGGGGUUUUUUUUUUAUUUUUUUUUUUCGUCGCCGGGAACGAAUUAAUUUUUUGAUAAAUUAAAUUUUUUUUUUUUAUUAUUGUUAUUCACUCUUUACUCUUCCCCGAUGAUAUGACGAUCUGGGUUUUUUUUUUUGCCCGAUGUCUUUCUAGCGGAAAAAAAAUUCAGUAAAAAACACUACAAUCAAAUAUUUCAUUAUGAUAUUGUGUAAUAAGCAAUAUAUAAUAGAACUGGCGCGUGUGACUCUUCGACAACAGCAGCAGCAGCGGCAGCUGUACAGCGUGAUCAGAUAAUUAAACGCGCGACACAAUAUGGCCAAUACGGUUUUUUUUUUUUUUUAUUUUUAAUUUUUUAUAAGGCUGUGCAUAAUAUUAUAAUAUAUUGGACACGACUGCGACGGCAACGACGAUUACGAUGUGUGGCGUUGCAUUGUUUUUCUAUGAACGCUGCGAAACCGUUUCAAGGGCUCACGACGCAGGCUCCCGCGAUGGGGCGUUUUUUUUUCUUUUGUGAGGCGAUUUUUUUUUUCCAAACUGCAUUACGUGUAUAUACCUACCUACUCGUACGUUAAAACAAAAGGCUGAAAAGACCUUUUGUACGGAACGUAUUUUAUACGCUUGGCAGAAAAAAAAAAAAAAAACAUGCUUAACGGUCACGACGAUCAAUAAAAUAUCGUAUGUUAUUAAUAGUUAUACAAUAUACGAAUUUUAAUCACGAGCAAAUCAUUGUCGACGCGAUAACGUGACAAAGGACAAUUUUUCAUAAAAAAAAAAUAAAAAAAAUAUUUAGUCUCCAUUCUAGAACAGGGGAAGACUGAAAAUUGUAUUUAUUUUUAUAACGGCGAGUAUUACGAAUACGUAUAAUAUGCACGAAAAAACAAAGUCGAAAACAAUUGCAACAACCAAUAAUGAAGAGUGUUUUACACCGGUGAAACUGCAGAUUAAAUCCAAACUCUCAACAAGAAAGUCCGAGAAAAGGCGAAUUACGGUCAGUCCCGUGUGAACUAAACGUGGUCGGUACAAAAGGCGACGUGGGAACGUCGAUGAUCUUUGAAAGGAAAAUAUUCCGACGCAUCUUGACGGUCCUUUUGUGAGAACUGGAGGAACACCGAACAGUAGCAAACGAGGAUGUGACCAAUUUAUAGCGAAACGAUGAUGAGAUAUUAUGCAAAUUAAGACCAGAAAAAUCAAAUGGAAAACACCUAUAGAGGUCGUCCCGGCCGAAAGCGUGCGCGAAUAAAGAAAACUGACGUGAAAUAGUACAGGAUGUAGCGAUGGCUCUGAAUGUAUAAUAAAAAAAAAAGACUGACGUAUUUCGCAUGUAGGUGCAGACAAGUGUUGUAGGUGGGAAGUCGGGAAGGUAGGAUAUAGAAAGUAAUUUAAUGUAUAUCUGUAAGCAACGAUAAACCAUUGCUAACGGAAAAACGCUUCUGAACGGAGUUCAAUUAAUAGGGAUGUUUUGUCAACGAUAUUUAUACGUAAUAUUAUUGUGAAAUAAUUAAACAGGCAUCAUAUAUUUUCUCUAACAAUAUUUGUUUAAUAUUGUACCGAUUUUCCUACGUGUUUCCCGGUUUUCAAAUGGUUUUUUUUUUCAGUUUUUACCAUUUAUCGGAAACACUCGUGGGAAAAUCGAAAAAAAACUACCUACUUAAAGUACCGCCUCAAGAAAAUUUUCUUUCGGAAUAAAAAAAAGUAAAAAGGAAUAUAAUUAUUAAUGAACAAAAACAUUAUUUUGUUACGACGACUGAUCAAUUUUAACCGAAUAAAAUACAAAUUACACCUGUACUCUGAUAUUAUAAAUUAAUUUAUGGAAUCCGUAAGUGUUUUAUUCGCAACGGAGAUCACUCUUAAAAAUGAAAUGUGCCGUCAUCGAUAACGCGUCCAUCAAAAGUAAAUUAUGGAGUUUCGAGAGUUAUAAUCUUUGUGUACGGUUAUUCUAAAAAUAGACUCGCGAUAAUUAGCCGACUCACGGAUAACAAACUAUAAAACUUACGUUUCGUUCGGUUAAAACGUAUUAAAAUGGGAACUACGUUCACGCGUGCAUCUCGACGCGGUGGUGGCUUAUGCGACGGAGGGAUUUCGUGGCGAUCGCAUUUCUGUCGAUAAAUUUGUAAUUUACUUUUUAAACCGUAGGUUUUUAUGGCCACAUAAUAUAAACUAUGAACGUGGCAUUUUGUUUUUACGUUGAAUCAAAUAGACAAUUGUAAAAAUUGGCCAAUUAACGGCGUGAUCAGUUUAUUUAACAAAAUAUCAAGCCGUAAAACUGUUAUUGCGUAACAGGCAUAAAUUAACUAAAAGAGAAAAAUAUAUCCGAGUACGUAUUCUGAAAAUUUUUUGCUCGUUUAUUCGAUUAAGGUGUUCGAGUAUUCCGAAUAAAAAAUUAACUAUCCGUCUUUCAAGAGUGCCGACGGUGAACGAACGCACAGUAAUAAACCGAACACAUUUUGAACCAUCUCUUCUCGCCGAAAUUCGAUUUCAGUUACGGUCUUGUAAGUUUCGAGUACCCGAGAUUCCAGUGCAUCCCGCUCCGUUAAUGAUCUCAGAUCCGCCGAUCUCCCGACAACCGCCGUGACGUUGUGAAUAUGCAAAAACCUCGCCGUGGGCCGUCCUAAAGACGCGUGCACGCGUGACCGCGAAUACCGCAGUUAUCGGUUACCGUUACCGGGAACCGACUACUAUCGCCGAUUUCGUCACGACUUAAAACGCGACCUACUCGCUAGCGUAUAGAACGAACGUAUUUGCACGGAGGAAGGUCAACCGGAAAGUGGUGUUUUCGCGGAGAAGUCGACGAAAACGCGACAGACGCGUACAUAUACGUCUUAUUUUUCGCAAGCGACUUUUACUCGUACAAUUUUUUUCUCGAAACACAAACGGCAUAUGGUCCCGACCGUUAUUUCGAAAACAAUAUUUCCAACGAACUACGAAAACAGCCGUUCUGUUACACCGCGAUACCGAAAGGAAUGCCGUCGGUAGCACGCAGACUCUCAAGGCCCAAAACAGCAACCGCCCACAGCCUCCGCUAUAUCCUACAAUAUUAUUGGCGGCAGUUUUCGCGUUCCCGGCUUCCGUUAACCGUAAGCCUACUUGUGUAAGUCUACCCUGUCCGUCUGACCCCCGGCCACCGGAUCCCUGAUUAUAGCGUUCGUUCUCCGUGUAGUUGUUUUCGAAUUCUUUCGUUUCCCCGUGUUCCGCGUUCUCCGUCAACGGGUCUUGUCGGACCGUACGUUUCUCUCGAUGUCUUUUAUCCAAAGCUUUUGGCUUUGUGUCGUCCGAAUCCGUAGCGACCGUUCGAGCACCGCGCGCGUCAAUAGGCGCCGGUCUUAGAUACGAACUGUGUGACAUCGACCCGAUUAAGCGACCCGUCGUUUCGUCUCCUCGCGGGCGCCGUUGACGUUCUCGCUGCCCCCGUAAAUACUCGAAAUUAGUUAGCCUCUCACACCGCGUACGUAUAAAUGGUCUACUCGUACAAUACACGGUACCGGGCACAAUUGUCUUGUUGCACGCGAAACGCCGCACAAACUCGGGGUUCUGAGUUCUGUGUAUCGCUUGUGCCCGCGACGGAAAUCGCCGUAUCUGUUCUAUUACCGACGGGUGAACGGUCGGUUUUCCGGGGCGACGACAGGCGACAUACGCAGAUCGGAGAUUGAAAUUCGGAAGAGGCGAGAUAGGCGAGCGGUCGGCCGGCCGGCGGCGGUGUGAUAUCGCGCGGGGAAAAGACGGACGGCGGGCAGGCGAGGCGGACGAGGCGGGGAUUGAAACGUAGGCCGAGUAAUACGCAGGCCGUAGGCCGGGCGACGGUCGGGCCGCCGAGUUCGCCUCCCGUGUUGUGCGCGCGGAGACGCGGGGAAAAAAACGGACCGCGGAACGAGGUCGGUGAGGGGAUUGGGGGGGGGGGGAAAUGGAAAAAACGACUCGACGCUAAACCGAGGCGGCGGCGCAGACUGGAUAGCGGUUCGGGUUUUUUUUUAUUUUUUUUCCCCCGUUUUAUCGCAUUACGUUAUCUGACGUAGGCGGUAUUCCUACUGCCCGUACGGUGAAAAAUUUAUCGCGCGCGUUCGGUUUCGGGGCCGGGCCCCCGGAGGGUCAAAGCUGUCGAAAUUCCGACGAACCGGUCCGCCGCACGAAAACCGCGCGGGCAUAUAAAAAUAUAUUGUGUUUAUUGUGCCGCGCCGCACCUGUACGCGCGCGCCGCCGACUCGCAUCCGUCUUGGAAACGUUAGCGGGACCCGGCCGUAUUAUUUUCACCGGCGGCGGCCGCGCGACGUCCGCCACCGCGUGCACGAGGUAUACGAGAAGACCUGGGUGGAGGGAGUAGUGAGUAGGGGGCGGUGGGGGGGGGGGGGGGGGGGNNNNNNNNNGGGGGGGCGGGGGGAAAUUACUCGUAUGGGAAAAAAAAAAAAUAGUAAUAAUAAAAAAUAUAAUACCCGUGUAAUACGCGCGCGCGCUCGCUGCACGAGUCUCCUCGCGUCCCGUGUCUCGCCGCCGCCGUUCGAUUCGGAUUUCUUUCGAAAACCGGUCCUGCCGCUGCCCGCGCCCCGCUCCCUUCCGCCCGUCCCGUCGCCGGUCUCUAACCCGCGGCGCGACCGCCGCAGUCCCGGGCCACGACGCACUCGCGUCAUCGUCGCGCCGUAUACUGCGGGGCCGCCGGUUAUAAAAAUAUUAAAUUAUCGUAGGCAGGUAGGCAGGUAGGUAGGCGGGCGGGUGGGUAUAGGUAUAGGUACGGACGGACGGACGGACGGACGGACGGACAGGCAGCAGCAGGUAAGAUGUACGCGCGGGAGUUUGUUGAACCCGGCCGGGCCCGCGUUUUCAAACGAAAUUCCCCAACCCUUUUCCCCUUUCCACACCGCUCCUCGCCCCCACCUCCUCCCCCCCCCUCUCGCUCGCCGGCGCGGUAAGGUACGGACGGACGCGGGGACGCCGGGUUAGAAUAAUAAUGUUGCGCGAGGAGCGUGCGCGUGUCUUUCUCCGUCCGCGCUCUCCGGCUCGCUCGCGCGCCUCGUAUACAGGCCGAUCGCUUUAACGCCGCGUUAGACAACAAUCGUUAUUUGAGUAAAUUUGCCGCCUAGCCCAGUACAGCGCGGCGCGUGUAUUUCGAGGCCACGUUAUUGAAGACGUUAAGAGGACGUUCAGACGCCCGUUUAGCUACUGCAGUCUCGGCCCGGCUCCGUGUCGGACAAUACAGACAAUUUUUCCGGGAGGGGCAUCACCGACCGUAUUUCUGGGUGGGCAAACGAAAUUUCCAGGGAAGGCAGUGGCCCCUCCCCCUCCAUGUUAUACGCCCGGAUUCAACACCGGUCCGACUGCCGGGUAUUAAACGCGCGAAAACAAUGCUCACGCGGAAUAAGUAAAACUUAUAUAGUUCGAUUUCGAUUUUAGAGUAAACCCAGGUACCUGUAUUAUUGUGAAAUCGUAUAGAGAACAAUAAAUUUCGGAGGGAAUUUGAUAGGGUUUUUAUUGUACUACUGAAAACAUAAAAGAAACGAACACCUGUCUUUCUUUUUUUAAAUAACUGUAACUUUUUUAAUUGUAUUCAUAGAACACCUACGACAUUCUCUUCGAAAUACUGUUCCCAAUACAUUUCACAAUUGGUACUUGCACUCUAAAAUCAAAACUAAUACGCCAGUUUUACUCGUUUUGCGCGUUACCCGGUAUGGUUGGACCGAGACAGUAGACGCGGGUAUAACGUCCUCGUUGACGAAUAUUAUUUAGUACGGCGCGCCUGAAAGCGAAUGAAUAGAAUUCCCGAGCGUUUCGGCCACGUGUUCGUUACAAAAUUGAAAUCCCACAGAAAUCCCUGUAUCCCGUUCGGAUGUCACGCGUGCGCGGCAGUUCGUCCGCGUGUAUACGAUACACUUUCGUCCGACAAACGAACCCGUGGAAAUCGGUUCGGUAGAACUGCUCGUACCGUAGAAAUAGCUCCGCCGGAUUACUCGCGUUUGAUUGCAAUAUCGGAGGCUACACUCGUCCGCAACCGAAAUCUCAGGGUGUUUGAAAAACAUCGCGGUGGCUGUUUGAAAACCGCACGUCGCGCGUACGGUUCACUGUACUGCGUAGGUGAUUCUGUAAAAUAUUCCCGAUAUCCGUGUACCCGCGGAACGGGAUUGUUCGCGCGCCGGAAGAAUCCAUCCGCAAUCGAUUUCGAUGAAUCUCCGGUUCACUUUGAAAUAUUAAAUAAUCGACCCGCGCGACGGGCACGGCACGUACGCCGCGGCGUAUUCGCGUCGUUCGCUCCGGCCGCUCGAAUAAUUUAAGCGGACCCGGAGAACGGGAGGACCGGUCGGAGUCGGAGAAUCGCGACGGAUUUGGAACUUGCACUGUUUCUCUCCGCGGGAUCGCAGUCCUGUCGGUUUUACGGUGGCCCGCGCUUUCGUUUACUUCCGAUAAAUCUCGACCGUCGACUUUGGCGGCGGUGUUUCCGGUAGCGAAUUUCAUCCGGUCGGUGCGCCGGGCAUGUCUAUUGUUUAAUGAUUUUAGUUUCUUAUCAUAGUUAUUAUUUUUUUUUACCGUUUGUUUUACGCGGUUAACAAUAUUAUUCUACACGUACCUACGCGCUCACAAAUACUGUUACAAAAUUAAAUCGCGCAACACCGUGUACAACAGCCGUCGUCGGGUUAGCGAAACGGCUUAGAGGGCGUGAUUGACGCGCGCGCGUUCGCCGUCUUGCGAACGGACCACUCGGGAAAUUUUCGUUUGCCGAGGACGACGUUGCGCCGUUAGUUUCGAUAUUUAAUCGAAUUUAUUGCAUGUGGUCGCACUUAACGGCCGGGACAACGUCGGCGCUGUUUUUCCGAUGUUUUCGUUUUCGAGAACGAUAUGCCUGUGAUACACGACUGACCGCUUAUACCGCUCUCGCGCGCGCGGCAAAAGGUUUUGCCCGUCGAUCGCAUUUCACAACGAUAACGAUUCAAUCGACGUAUUCGUUUUUUUAAUUUUGUCUAUCGAAUCAAUUCCAAGCGGGUAGGAUUCGACAGAAUUCGAUAUUAUUAUACCGAUCGUAUUUCGCACGAAACUGGAAUGGUUAAAGACGGCGUAAAGGAAAACCGCACUCGGGGCUAAAUUAACGAGACUCGUUUCCAUUUCGGACGCGAACAAACGCAAUCGAGUACGUACUGUUGCCGUAUCGAAUGUUCACGCGCCGGAGCUGCGGUUUAUACACGCGUACGUAUUUCCGCCAGCGUAUUGCGUAGGCGUAUGAUUGUCGAUUACAAUGCAAUUCGAACGUUUUCGUCAAAAUGGAUAACGGACAACGGUCGUACGAUUGUGCGCGCUUUGGUUCGCGGUGAACAAAAUCGAAACGAGUUGCGCGGACCGUCCACUGUUGUUGAUCGCGUCUACGGCUUUAUCGACGAAACCCCCGGCAACCCCGGACCGUAGACGUUUUCCGUUCUGCCGCGGCGAACACUCGCGGCCCGGUAUCCGCUACUCGUACGGUUAUCCGCGGCGGCGCGCCGGGUACGGGCCGGACCAGAUCGAAACGGCGAAAAUCCAAUUAUCGCCGCGUGCGCGUACCCGCGGAGACCUACGCCGCGGCAAUGUCGCAAGCGAUGGCGUAUCGGGGGGACGGGAGGGGGGGGCGGGGGUAGCGGGAGGGGGUAUCGUCGACGACGGCGACGGUGAUAAUAAUACGCGCCCGUAGAGGGUACCACCGCGUCGCCUACACAAUAUACGCGAUGCGCAAUAACAUAAUAACGGGGCACACGGUAAAAAAAAAAAAAGCGAAAAUCGUUUUCUGUCGCCGCCGUCCGAUUUUAUUAUCGUUAUUAUUAUUAUUGUGUAUUCGCGCACGCCCUCGUUAUUAUCGUAUAAUACUGUACCCCGUGCCCGCCUGCCCGUCCGCCCGUCCGCCCGUACGCACGUGCGUUGUACGUAACGCGUGUAAUACGCGCUCGCCCGGGUCGAGGUAUGAAUUACCGAACAACAACGGCGGCGACAGCGGCGAAAACGCGACCCCCGACUGAAAAAAAAAAAUAAUAAUAAUAAUAAUAAUAAAAAAAAUAAAUAACAAUAAUAAUAGACGAUCCGUGAUGCCGAUAGUCCGUCGCCGACAACGGUAAUAACACUUCACGACGCCUACCUGUAAUAAGGCGGCGCGCGAUGUUUAAAAAAAAAAAAAAAAAAAAAAAAAAAAAAAACGNNNNNNNNNNNNNNNNNNNNNNNNNNNNNNNNNNNNNNNNNNNNNNNNNNNNNNNNNNNNNGGGGGGGGGGGGGGGGUGGAUCGGACGUUCCGACGGAUUCCCUGCGAGUUGCCGGCCGGCCCCGGGUCGCACUCGCACGACGCGUGACCGCCCGGUGACGGCGCUUAGCGCUCAGUAAGCAGUGGCGAUAAGGGAAAUUCGUUCGCGUCGUCGCAGUGUCACGCGGCGUUAACGGAUUCCGAAUGCCGUCGGUUCACGUUGACGGUUUCGAUUAACGUUUGACCGGGCGUAAAACAUCGAAACCCCGCGGGGCUAGUAAUUAUUAAUUUUGUACGUAAUAAUCUUCUUCUUCUUCUUCUUCCGUGACUCCGGCCUCCGAGACCGCGUCGUCCAACGGAUUCGUCUCCGCGUCUCCCUGUCUAAGGCCAACUCCUCACAAUCCGAUCCCGGUCUCGCUUUCUCCGCGUCCUCUUCGGUCUUGUCUGCCCAGCGUGACCUCGGCCUUCGCAAAAGCGGUCGUUUUCCUUCCCUCCAGACUUCCGAAUACUCCGAAUUCUCGUUAUCGUCUCGUGACGGUCGUACUGUCCCUAUUAUGACCCAGCCUACUGUCUGCGGUUAAAACGAUGUUAACUACAUAAGAAAAUAACCCGCCCGGUGGUUAUAGUUUUCGCCGAACGCUAUUGGAGCUAAUUCUAGUUGAGUUUUCAAACGCACCAUCGGGAAACGUAUUAACGCGCUCAACUCAAACGAGCCACAAACGCAAAUGGAAUCCUCCGAUUGGCUUUUUGAUCGGCUCAACGCGAACUCAACGUAUCGAUAACACGAUUUUAAGGCGAGCUUUACGUCGCCGUUGGUCCGAACCGGAUACGCCGCGUAAAACCUCGAAAUUCGGCCCCUCUGAUUCGGCUACUUUUUUUUAUCUUUUUUUUUUUAUUAUUUAAAAAAACUAUACAAUUUUUAAUAGUUUUAAUUUUAUACAAUACAUAACAUAUAUGUUUUUCUUAAUUACUAUCGUACAAGUUUUCUCGCUUCUCCAGUCAACGGUAUAUAUUCUACGACACGAUCAUGAAUGAAAAUACGGUACAGCUGUAUUUGCACCUUUUAAAUUUUCAGAGGCCAAAUUAAUAUUGACUGGAGAAGCUUUUACUGAAACAUUCUGUUUCGAAAUAUCAACAACAACAAUCGGUCGCCUUUCCAAAAACUGCGUAGGACUUAACACAGAACUUCGCACUACAUUUCCAUAGUAAUACUCUUGGAACGGUGCAUGCAUAUCACAUGAUAAAGAGUAAUUUUUCUUACUAAAAUCUAAAUUCAAAUACGGAUACGUAACAGAAUUAAAAUAUACUCGUUCACGUUUUGUUAAAUUACAAUGCUCGAAUUUACCAUAAUCUUCGGUGUUUUUCUGUAAACGAAUUAUUUACCUAUCUCUCGAUUGUUUCUUUAGCUAACGUACGCGUUACACGGGUUUCACUACCGAUAACAAAGGAGAAUCUAACCGUAAAUAAAACCGUUCAAAUCGCUACGAAAAUCAUUAGAGUCUUUCAUCUUCUAAACAAAGUAUCACUGUUACUCAUCGGUUUUUACGGCAUAACAAAAUAUAUCACAAAGUGCGUACGGUGAGCAAACUGAUUUCACAGACAACACCGGUGAUAUGAGUUUGUUAUUUGUAGUUUACUAUUUUUCAACAUAAUAACUCGUAUUAUUUUUAGAGUGAUACAAACAUGUUUGCCCAAGUGUUUGGUCACGAAAACAGAACCUAAAAAAAACUAUGACUAAAAUUAAACAGACAAAAGACACUAAAAAAUUAAACAAGCAUUCGAACAUUCUCGAAAGGUUAAAAAAAAAAUAUACAUUUUUAAUUGCAUAGAAUAUAUUAAUAUUUUAUUAUUAUAUUUUAGACGAAUAAUUUCCAUGAAAAUUUAAUCCGAAAAGCUGAUGAUGCGUCUUCUAAACAGAUUAGCACGGAUCGAAAUUCGCAAUACAUUGAAUUUGGAACUCGAAACCACGUCUGGAAAAAGCCUGUCUCCAAUAAAGUAACUGACUACUGGGCAAUCCAUCAUUGUAAGACGAAAGACAUGGAAGAGGUUGCGUCUAACGAGCAGUAAUUUUGGAUUUGUCGAGGAUUUUAAAAAGAUUUGCAAUAAUUGGUUUUUCGGAAAAAUACCAAAGAUUACAGUAAAUUCGAGCAUUGUAAGUAUUGAGAGUAUAUUUGAAUUCUGUUAUGUAUCCGUAUAACGAUUUGAAUUUAGAUUUCAGAAAAAACAAACUACUACGGUAUUGUACCGGCUGAUUCAUUUAAGUGGGUACACUCGUUAUUUCGGAAACUAUUGAUUCUUUUCGGGAUUCGUUUUCUAAAACGUUCAAGAAACAAGCGGCUCUACAAUUUUAUAUUUAUGUUAUUUUUCGUUACCCUUAUUUUCGGGGGUACCCACUUAUGAUUUUCAAAUGGCAGCCUAUUUUAAAAAGUCAACACUGAAAUUUAUUUUAACUAACACUCCGUCUGUUUAUCGACUUUUUGAUAUAGGUCGCUAUUUGAAAAUCAUUGGCAAGUAGUGGUUUUACCCCCCGAAAUAAGGGCGAUGGAUGUAAAUAUAAAAUUGUAGAGCUGCUUGUUUCUCGAAUGUUCUAGAAAACAAAUUUCGAAAAAAAUCAACGCUUUCCUAGAUAACGAGUGUGCCCACGAAUUAAACGAAUUGCUCGGGUAUGAUAUGUAUGCAUCGUUCCAAGAGUCUUACUCCGAAAACGAAGUGCGAAGUCCUAUAUGAAGUCCUACGCAGUUUUUGGAACGGGAACCGAUUGUUGUUAUUGAUAUUUCGAAACACAAUGGUUCAGCAACAGCUUCUUCAGUCAAUAUAAAUUUGGAAUAGAAGCCUCUAAAUAUUUAAAAGACGCAAUUUUACUGUAUUUUCAUUCACGAUUGUGCUGUAUAAUUCAUACCAUUGACUAUAAAAGAGUAAAAAAAACUUAUAUGAUAGUAUUUAAGUAAA